ACAGUUGAUGUUUUGAAUGUUUGGACACCAGCAGCAUAGUUGAGGUCUCCGGUGAUCUUUGUCUUAGUAGCACCAUCACCGAUCAUCAUAAUAUGGGACAAGCUCCUUGAGAUGGUGACUUGCUGCUUGUAGAUCCCUUUCUUUAUAUAUAUAACAAAUGUUGUGUUUUGCUUCUUGGGAAUCUUGUGAACAGCUUCAUUAAUAGUCUUGUAUUGGCCACUCCCGUCUUUAGCAACAACGAUAUCAGGCUUAAUUGUGUCUGGAGUUUGUGCAAGUAGUCUCCUUUUUUCAUGGGACAACCAGGAAGGAAACUCAGAGUUAUCUUUCAACAGUCUACGUCCUGUAAAUCCUGCAAGGUUCAAAUCCUUAAGCGUGGAAGAGAGACCAGUGAUCAAAGCAAGACCGUUGCUGCUAAGUUGACUAGAAAGAGUUAGGAUUUCCUUCAUUUUGGCUCCGGCUGGACCAGUAGUAUUGUCAAAGCCAUCCAAACAAGUUUGUUGAUAAGUGAUGGUGGCGCUAAGCCAAGUCUUGAGAUUUGCCAGAUACUCAUCCAUUUUAUUAACAUCAAAGUGUUCAACUUCUUCGAAGGAAACCUUGAGAUCAUGAAUGGCGUCGUCCAUUAAUUCUUUGCAAUUAUCAAGCGCUUGUUUUGCCAUUGGAUCUUUUGCUACAUCUUUUAAUGUGGAUGAGUUCUGUAAGGCUUGUUGAAGAGCAUCAAUGGUCACCUGAAAGCCGGCCUGUACAAGCUUGAGAGGAUCGGUGGUGUUUCCUGCGGCUUUGCUAAGACUUUUUCCACAGAUUUCUCUGUAAUCCGUAGGUUGGCAGAUAGCCUGGACUGACUUCGACGACGUGGAUAUUUCGGCCGAAGCGUUUGAGCCAUUUUGGUGGUCGCCGCUGUUGAUUCCAUAUGCCACAGCAAUCACCAUAGCCACCAGAAGAAAUGAUGCGACGCCAAAAAUGGCAUACUUCUUUUUCUUCCCGGUUGGAUCUCCGGCGCCGCCACCAGCCAUCUGCGUUAGUCUUAGUUUAAGCUACAAAACCACCAAUCUUCUUGUUUUUUUUAGGAGAAUAUGAUCAAGAAGAGAAACAAAAUUGGAGGAAAUAAAAACCUAAUCAAUGUUAUUAAGAAGUAUACAGAGCUGUUGGGGCUUUAAGAUUAUUGAAUAAAUGCCCCGAAGCUCUGACUUGGGAAAACAAAGCAUAGAGAAACCCUUUAUAUAUGAAGUGAAAUUCUAAAAAACUGUUAUUUCUGUUACAAAUUUGUGGGGUGUGGAAGAGACUUUACUAAAAUUAGGGUAAUUUUUUCCGAUAAUAAUAGUACUUUUAAAACAAUGUUUAUUUCUUCUUUUAUUACUCAAUCAAUAAAAUAAUAAUAUUUGAUUUCUUAUUUAAAUUCAAGAAUAAUAAUAUCUAUAUAAAUAUUUUUAUGAUUUCUUUUUGUCUAAAUUGACUCAAAUUAAAAUUUUGAAGAUUGAAAAAAUUAAUAAAUUAGUUAUAAUUUCAUUUAUACAAAUUGCCUAUUUUUAUUUGAGAAAUAUUAUAUAUCUAAUAUAUUCAAAUUAAAAGAUAUUAUUUUGUAUAUUCGAAUUAAAAAAAUUUAUAAAUGGAUAAAAUAUUAAUUUUUACUCAAAAUAACGAGUUGUAAAAUUAUAAUGAGUAACUUACUUAAAGAUAAUAAACACAACACUAAUUUUAACCUUUGCUAUAUAUUUAGAUGUAUAUAUCACUUAGUAUAAAUGUAAAAAAAAAAAAAAAAAAAAAGUUCUUAUUGUCUUUAAUAUUUUAUGUACUUUUUUUUAACUAAUUAUGAAUAUAGAUUGUCAUUGAUGAUUAUUUAAAUAAUAAAUUAAUGAUGAAAUUAAUUUCAUCAAUAAUUUUAUUAAUUAUUGUUUUUUUUUAAUAUUUUAAAUUAUUAUAGGUUGAAAAUAAAAUUUUGUUGUUAAAAAAUUUAUAAUAAAGUGUUUCCAAGUAAGACAAAAAUGAACAUAUAUGGAUUUUCAGUUGGAAAAAUAUAUUUGUAUUUGUAUAAUAAUAAAUAUUUUAUCAAAACUCUACUAGAAGUAUUAUUAUCAAAUUGUACUGAAAAACUAUUAUGCUUUAUUACAUAAUUACAUGUAUAUGGCAAAAUUAAUAUAGUAUUCAGAAUGUGGUUUACAAGUUAAAUUAUUAUGUAUGAAGUCAACAAAUAUAAAGUAUUAUACAUAAAAUUUUAUUAUAAAAUGUCAAAUUCCAUUGUACCAUGGCAUAAUUUUAAAAUUAUAUUUAUAAAUAUAUAAUUUAUGAUAAUUAACCCACGCAUCGCGCUGGCUGGUGAGGUAAUAUAUAAUAAAGUAAAAACCAAAAUUUACAAUUAUAACCCUAUUUUAAUUUAAGUUCAUUCAGUUGUAAAAGCAGGUCGCACAAGCUAUAAGUGAUUUUUUUUUUUUUUUUUUUUUUACAAGUGUAAUUUUGAAAGCAGCUGAAUGAAUUAGAUGAAUUAUAUGUAUAAUUCAUAGUAAAAAUUUACUAUUUUAUGAAAUAAAGUUUAUAUAUCUACAUUUUCAAAUAUUAUUAAUUUGAAAAAAAUAAAAUAAACGAUUAAUUAUGUGUUUCAAACUCUUAUUUUUAAUUUUUUACCAAUGUAUGUUAUACAUUGAAUAUUUAUUUUAACUUUUACGUAUGCAAAAUAUAAGAUUAUUCAUUAAACAUAAUUUUAAUUAAAAAAUUUCAAUGUUAGAUACGUAUGUAAGAAUGGUUUAUUAAUUUUUUAAAGCCAAGCUAGGUUUUAUCGACUCUAUUUUCAUCUUUUUUUUUAAUUUUAUUUUUUAUUAAACUGAUUUCCAUCUUAUGUCCAAUUUUUACAUCUUUACUAUAUAUAUGUUUUUUAUUUCUAAUAUGAUUAAGUGAUUUUAAGAAUUAUUCUCUCCAAUUUUUAACUUUAUAAAUUGGAAAAAAUAAAUAUAUACUACACUCUACAUAAUUCACUGCUUAGAAAUUAAGCCAACAAAUUGUGUGAGCAUGAAUAUUAUUUUUUUAAUUAGUUAUUUCAACUUAAUUGUCAUGGUUAAAUUUGAUUCAUCCUUAUAAAUAUCAAAAUUUUCAUCCUAACAUAAAAUUUUUAAUUAUUGUAAAUUAAAUUUAUUUUUUUGUAUUAAUAUUAAAAAUAAUUUACCGUAACAUUACGCGGUUCUAUCUAGUCGUAUUAACAAUAAUAAUAAUCCCAAAUCAAUAAGCACGGGUAAAGAAUGUUUGACAUUGUCUCAGUUCAACGGGGACAGAUUUUUUUUAAAUAUUUUCAAUUUAUCUUUUUUUUUAAUGAAUAAUUAUAAAUACUUAUAAUUAUUUUUCAUUAGUUUAGUUUGUUUUUUAAAAAUAUUUUUAAUUUAUUAUUUUUUCUAAUGAUUAGAAAUAUCUAUAUUUGAUCAGAUAAUUAUUCUUAUUAGUUUAAUUUAUGUAAAGAACUAUAGAUGGGUCUAGACAAAUUAAUUCCAGUAAAAUGAGGAAAAAUAAAAAAAAAGGCCAAAAAGCUUUUUAAUUUCUUUUUUUUUUUUUUUUUUUUUUUAAAUACGGCUUUGGCAAGCAGCGGUACAACUUAACAUAAAAACUACUACAAUCAAUAAAUUUCGCUCUCCUCCUUAAUAGGUCUCCUUUAUACGUUCAUCAUUCCAGAAGCAUAACUGACGCCGGUUGCCGGAAUCCAAAGAUCUCCGCCAAUGAAUUUAGCAACAGUGAAAGCAGCAGCAUCCUGUGCCGACAAUUUCUUGAUACCCUUCCAUGUAACUCUAUCCUUGGUGACUGAACCAGGUCCUCUAUUUUCGUACUCGGAGUAAGAGAGAGUGUCAAGAGCAAAAGAACCCAUCCAUGGCAACCAUCCCUUUGGAUCAAUCAAAUCAUCGAUUUGACAUUGCAUGUAUACAGUCCUUGAGUACUCUUUCCAUGGGCGACCAAGAUAGGCCUUGUUCUCGAAUCUAACAGGAUAAUACUCUGGGUCUGCGGUAAUAUUGCAGUUUUGGAGAACAAAACCAGUGGCUUCGCGUGAUUCAUUCCUUCCUUGAGCAGUCACAACGCAAUUUUGAUUUUCCAAUGGCUUCCUGACCACAAUCUUGCAAUUCUGGAAGACUGCGGCGGCGUCACCAAAGAUGAAGUCAAUAGUGCCUGUGAUGGUGCAAUCGCGGUAGAACUGACGGUGGGUGUGAGCAAAAAGGGUAUCUUGGUAGCCAUCCAUUUGGCAAUUGUAGAAAAUAGACAUAUCAGAUUGAACCCUAAGUGCCACAGCUUGAUGUCCGAUAGCUCCUGCUGUGUUCUCAAAUCCAAUGUCCUUGGCUAUGAAGUGGUUUCCACUCACCGCUAUAAUAAUUGAUUAAACCACAAAUAUAUCAUUAAUUAGACAAAAGUUAAAACAAAAAGAAGGAAUUUAGAUAUUACUACUUACAAACAGUUGAUGUUUGGAGUGUUUGGACACCAGCAGCAUAGUUGAGGUCUCCGGUGAUCCUUGUCUUAGUAGCACCAUCACCGAUCAUCAUAAUAUGGGUCACGCUCCUUGAGAUGGUGACUUGCUCCUUGUAGAUACCUUUCUUUAUAUAUAUAACAAAUGUUGUGUUUUGGUUCUUGGGAAUCUUGUGAACAGCUUCAUUAAUAGUCUUGUAUUGGCCACUCCCGUCUUUAGCAACAACGAUAUCAGGCUUAACUGUGUCUGGAGUUUGUGCAAGUAAUCUCCUUUUUUCAUGGGACAACCAAGAAGGAAACUCAGAAUUAUCUUUCAACAGUCUACGUCCUGUCAAUCCUGCAAGGUUCAAAUCCUUAAGCAUGGAAGAGAGGCCAGUUAUCAUAGCUAGACCGUUGCUGCUAAGUUGACUAGAAAGAGUUAAGAUUUCCUUCAUUUUGGCUCCAGCUGGACCAGUAGUAUUGUCAAAGCCAUCCAAACAAGUUUGUUGAUAAGUGAUGGUGGCGCUAAGCCAAAUCUUGAGAUUUUCCAGAUACUCAUCCAUUUUACUAACAUCAAAGUGUCCAACUUCUUCGAAGGAAACCUUGAGAUCAUGAAUGGCAUCGUCCAUUAAUUCUUUGCAAUUAUCAAGCGCUUGUUUUGCCAUUGGAUCUUUUGCUACUUCUUUUAAUGUGGAUGAGUUCUGUAAGGCUUGUUGAAGGGCAUCAAUGGUCACCUGAAAGCCGGCCUGGACAAGCUUGUGAGGAUCGGUGGUGUUACCUGCGGCUUUUCUAAGACUUUUUUCACAGAUUUCUCUGUAAUCCGUAGGUUGGCAGAUAGACUGGACUGACUUCGACGACGUGGUUAUUUCGGCCGAAGGGUUUGAGCCAUCUUGGUGGUCGCCGCUGUUGAUUCCGUAUGCUACAGCAAUCACCAUAGCCACCAGAAGAAAUGAUGUGACGCCAAAAAUGGCAUACUUCUUUUUCUUCCCGGUUGGAUCUCCGACGCCGCCACCAGCCAUCUUUAUUAGUCUUAGUUUAAGCUACAACACCACCGAUCUUCUUGUUUUUUUUAGGAGAAUAUGAUCAAGAAGAGAAACAAAAUUGGAGGAAAUAAAAACCUAAUCAAUGGUAUUAAGAAGUAUACAGAGCUGUUGGGGGUUUAAGAUUAUUGAAUAACUGCCCCGAAGCUCUGACUUGGGAAAACAAAACAUAGAGAAACCCUUUAUAUAUGAAGUGAAAUUCUAAAAAACUGUUAUUUCUGUUACAAAUUUGUGAGGUGUGGAAGAGACUUUACUAAAAUUAGGGUAAUUUUUUCCAUUUGACUAAGAUAAGGGAUCUAUCUUUCGCAGUAAAAUAGGUUUAGAGCUGACCAAUUCUCAUUGUUGGCAAUGCAUAAGAAAAUUAAGGGUAAUUGGAAGUUCUUUUGCCUGUUUAUUUUGAAAUAACAUAUUAAAGUACUUUUGAUCAAAGUUAAUUAAGCAACUGUAUUUAAGUUUAAAAUCUACAUAAUACAUAUAGUCUGCUUAAAAUUCCAUGGACCCAACCGCGCCCAAACCCAUCUUUCAUAAGGGGUCAAGGUAAUAUUCGUCCAUUACAACCUGAACAAGGUAAACCAGAAGCCAGUCUUUCCAUUUUCGGACCCUAAAUUUCAGAAAUGCUUGCGACCUUUCCAAGCUGAAAAAGAAAAAGGUAAGGGUAUUCGUGAGAUCGUACGUAGAGAAAGAAUGUGUUUCAGCUAUAUUUGCCUGCUUUGAUUAUCAUUCAUCCAUUUUUGAGUUCUUUCUUGAAGGAAUAUUGGGCAAAUAGAGGUUGAUCUAUGGAUAGUGAUGAGAUUAAUUAAUGGUUUUAGUCAUCAUUAAUUAGGUUUUCAUUCUAUUUUCUUGGGCAUAUUAUUACUUCCCUUUUCUUUUUUCUUGGGAAUUAUUAGGUUGAUCCAUUUUGCAUUAUAUUGAUAUAUAUUUUUCUAUUCUUUCAUUUGAUGUCAGCAAUUAAAAUGAUCUCUUCAAAUUUUACUUGUUAGAAUCAAUUUUUUUAUAUUUUCCUUUUCAAAUUAAUUGAAAUUGAAAUUAAUUGUAUUUCGUACAUCGAGUAUUUGAAAGGAGUGAUGUGAUAAAGAUUAAAAAUUAAUCAAAUACUUAGCAAGAACAUUUUGCUCCUUAAUGGACCAAUCCAGGGUGAACAAGAUUUAAUUUUAAACUGCUUAAAUUAAAAUGAGUAACAUGACUAAGAUGAGUGGUGUGACGAGGAUUUAAUCUUAAUAAAUUAAACAAAUACUUACCGAAGAUCUUUGCUUCUUGAUAGACCAAUCCAGGAUGAACAAGAUUUAAUUUUCAACGAAUUGGCCGAAAAUACCUAUGAUUAAUAUAAAAAAAAUUAGUUGUCCAUCGUGUUGAGGCAAGGUUCUGAUAAUCCAUUUUACUGUUUUUUUUUUCUUUUCUUUUCUUUUUUACCGUUAGCCUAUAUUAAUAUAAAAGUAAGAAAUCAAAUCAUAUCCCAUAAAUCAGAAUAUUAUGAAUUGUUAAUGUACAUAAUCUAAAGGUAAAUGUAAGUAUCUAUUUUUUAGAAACAAGAAUAAACACUAGUUUUUGUGUGCUGGUAUUGGCAUUGGUAUGUGUUUUUUGACAUUAUGUCUCAUUAGGCUUUUAUUUAUCGUUACAGAGAUAUACCACUUCUCUUUUAAUUUAUUGUGCCCUUAUUUAAUCAUAUCUAUCAAUUCCUUCAAAGCUUAGCUCUCUGUAAUUCCAACUUGGCAAUGGUACCCAUGUGGACUUCAUCGGGGCCAUCUGCAAUUCUCAAUGUUCUUGCUGUGGCCCAAAGAUGUGCCAAUACGGUGUCGGAUGAUAGACCAGCUGCACCAUGUACUUGCAUUGCCCUGUCAAUCACCAUCAGUGCCAUGUUUGGAGCUGCUACCUGUUCCACAUAACCCAAAUUCAGAAUAAGUCAAAAAUGUGCUGUAUUUUGCAUUAGCAAGACCAAAGAUUAUUACCUUCGCCAUUGCAAUAGUUCCUCUUGCUCUUUUGUUCCCAAGCCGAUCAAGCUGGUCUGCUGCCUCCAAAACCAAUAAUCUGGUUUUCUCCAGCUCUAUUCGACACUGCAUUAGUCAAAUUUGAAAUACCGUUAUUAUAGAGCUUAGGUGUGGGCAGGCAGGCGAGAUAAAUAAGGGGGCAAAAAAAAAAAAAAAAAAAAAAGANNNNNNNNNNNNNNNNNNNNNNNNNNNNNNNNNNNNNNNNNNNNNNNNNNNNNNNNNNNNNNNNNNNNNNNNNNNNNNNNNNNNNNNNNNNNNNNGGAAAAAAAAGGGGGAAAAAAAAAAAAAAAAAAAAAAAGAUACGUUAACACGAAGGGGAGGACAGAAUUCUAACUCAAUAACCCAACUUUGCUUUUUUAACUCGAUACUACAGGGCAUUUGGGUGUGCCUGAAUAUUAAAAGUAUCCCCUUCCCCCAAACCAUUUUUGGUCCAUAGAUAACAAAAAAAAAAAUAUAUCUAUCUAUCACACACCUUGGCAAUAUCUGAACGAAAUGAACCAUGCUCAGCAAUCAAUUUUCCAAAUGUUUUUCUGCUGAGAGCCCUUUGAACCAUCAACUCCAUUCCCCGCUCUGCAGCACCUAUCAAUCUCAUGCAGUGGUGCAAUCUUCCAGGGCCCAGUCUACCCUGCAAGGAUGUAAAAUCAUUAGAGAUGAAAUAUUUACUUAAAAAUGGGAGAAUCAACAACAUCACAAAAUAUAGAUGUUAAACAUUCAGCCAACCCGACUAGACCAAUUCUCAGUGGCAAAUAAAUCACCUCCAUUGUCCAAAUAGAGAACUCAUAAAUAUCGCCAGCAUUAAUGGAUUCUAUUUUUUAAAAAGCAUGUGGGACUACACAUAUAGAACCCAAAUCUGGUAAAGCAACUUAUGAAUUAUGUCCAUAAAAGUUUGCACAGAAGUUAAAUGAAGCUUACACUGAGCUUGUCAGCAGAAUUUGACUGCCUCAGAAAUUAAAUUGAAUUGAAAUUUUAUCCAAAACCAACUAGUAUAACAAAGAAAUCCAUUACAUUACCUGCAAAGGAAGGAAGCAACUUUACCUGUGCAAUCUCAAAUCCACGUCCUUCACCAAGAAGGAUGUUCUUUGCGGGCACAAAUACGUUUUCAAAUGAAAUUUCAGCAUGACCAUGAGGUGCGUCAUCAAAGCCAAAGACCGUGAGUGGCCUCUUUAUGUGUAUGCCUGGAGUCCGAACAUCCACUAGGAUCAUGGAUUGCUGCUUAUGCUUAGCUGCAGAGAAGUCAGUUUUUCCCUGCAUAUUGUUCACAUUGAUUUUUUUUUUUUUUUUUUUUUUUUUUGUGAAAAUAAGAAUGGCAUUAAAAUGAAGAAUUCUCAGUUACAAGGAUAGCAAAACAUGAGUUUUAAACUACAUGAACAAUUAACAGGACUGCCCUUCUCAAGCAUACUGGAGGAACUAACCAUAACUAUAAGAAGUUUACACCUAGGAUCCAUGGCGCCACUUGUCCACCACUUGUUCCCAUUAAUGAUAUAUGAAUCCCCUUGUCUGUACAAGAAAAGCAGAUCUGGUUACAAAGCACUAGAGCAGAAAACAAAAAAACCUUUGCACAAAUCACAGGAUUAUUACAAACAUAACAUCCAAGGGAGUGAGAUAAUUUCAUCUAGAAGUUCAUUGAUAUCUUCUUUUUAUAAAACAAAUCAACUUCAAUUCUUGAAUAAUCUGGGCCCCAUUAACUACCUUCUAAUAGAACACUCAAUAUUUGUAGCAUCUGAUGAUGCAACUUGUGGUUCUGUCAUUGCAAAUCCAGAACGGAUCUUGCCCUCAAGCAAAGGAAUAAGCCAUUCAAGUAGCUGUUCUUUGUUCCCAUAUCGCAGCAAUACCUAUUAAGGAGACAAAAACAAUAUAAUUGCACUCAGAGGCAGUAAAAAAUCACAAAGCCAAAAAUAGCAAACAAUAAAGCCAGACAGAGUUUCAAAAAGCUUUUCUGAUGCAUGUUCAUUCAAAUAUUUCCUGGAUGGAGUUGAAGCAAUGCAGGAUUUAUGUAGCACAUGCAUCUUGCUAUAAUACUCUCCCAGGGUAAAAUCACUCCUACAAUCUUUAUUCAAGCAACUUUUUUACUCUCUUUACUUUCAAAUUUUCUUGUAUGGCAAAGUAUUACAACGGCUACUUAAGGCCAUGUGAUGACCACACUAAUAAAUUGUUCCAUUCCAGACCUUAAAGAACAUGAAACUAACUUUUACCUCCAUAUUUCCAGUGUCAGGUGCACCACAAUUGAAUACUUGCGGAGCCCAAUUAGAACGACCCAUGAUCUCGCAAAGGUAUCCAUAUUCAAGGUUUGAGAGGCCAGCACCAAGUAAUUGAUCAUGUGUGCCAUUGGAGGCGGCAAAACUACUUUCAUCAAAGAUAAGUUUUCUCGCUCUUUCGGCACUGUCAAACUGCAGAAAAAAAACAUGAGUGCACUUGAAUUCAUGAUUCAAACUCAUCUCCUGCUAUGAUCGAUGGUAAUAAUAACAGAAAGACAAACAUAUAGCCCAGAAAGACGGGAAAGGAAAUACAGGUAUCCAUAAGUUCCACAAUCCUUCUUUCUUUGCCAGCUCCUUUAAUCUCUCCUCCUCUGGGUGCACCGUCCAACGUGAUGAAGACUGAGCAAGCUUGUAGAACUCAUUUUCCAAAGGAUAUAUGUGAUCUUCCAUAAACUUAAUUAAUUUUUUUCUCAAUUCCAGCACCUUUUUGCUGGGAACAAACCUCCCAGUUUCUUCUGAAAUGCCUUGAACUUUCCUCUUACUGCCAAUUUGUGUUACGUAGUCCAGUGCAAUUGCGCCUGUAUAGUAAAAAGAAGAAUCACGUUAGGUGAUGAUAUUGAUUACACCAAAUGUAAUUUUUGUUUUUUAGAAAAAAAGGGAAGUUAACGUAUGUUUGACAGACAUUCAGACUAACAUCUUUUUAUAACAUUUCUAAUAGGGAAAUGCCUUUGGUGCAGCUGGGGAGGCAGGUAAAUAAGAGAAUUUCAUAGCCUUUUUUGAGAACUAUGUCAACAAAAAUUCUCUACUGCUGUGAAGUAUACAUAAACAUUGUGUAUAUGCAGCUUCAUCCUUUACAAUCCAAGAACUUCUUACUCUUUUCCAGAAACAUCAACAUUAUACUUUUAAAUAUAGAAUACAGAGGAAAGCGUGUCACAAUGAGCUGAAAGGAAACCUUAGCAUAUUUCUUUUAUUAUCAGCCACACCUUUUAAAAAAGUUCCUCUCAUACAGCAUGACAUAUCAUUAUGAUGUUCUCAAAAGAAUUUUUCUAGGAAUUUUCUGAUAAUAAAUUAUUUGGUGACCAAUAAAUUAUAAAAUGGUUAUAUUACCAGAUGGAGGGUGAUCAGGAAGCACAGAUUUUCUUGCAAUAAAAGCCCAUGCAGAGUCUAUGAGACCAUUAGCAUGAUUUCCGGCAUUUCGGGCACGCUCACCUCCUGUAGCAUUACCCUACAUUUGUGACAAAAUGUUAUGCUAAUACAUUAAACUUCUAUCAGAGAGCUUUUGCUACAAGAUUAGCAGUAGAAUUUAGCAAACUGUCAUUAAGACAUUACCAUAAUCCAUCGACUAUGUACACCUGCAUAAAUUGAUGCCGCACGGAACAUAGCAAAAGCUACGUAGAACUUCCAUACAUUAGCUGGCCAUGGUUUUCCCUAGAUUGCAUUAUUUCCAGCACAAAAAACAGCAUUUCAAUCAGUUCAACAAACAUGUCUAAGACAUCCAUCAUAAGCAUCUAUGAGACCAAAACACCAGGUAAUAAAUGAACAAGUAACCCAUUGUUAUAGAAGUGUAAAAGUUUUCUUGAAUUAGUCCUCACAGGUUUUCUGGACUUCCAUGAAAAUAGAUCUUAUUCAAAUAUCAAGUCAGUUUCCCAUAUGUUUUUUAGUACUAAAACUAACAUCAGAAAUUUAUAAGAAUAAGCAUUUGGCAUAGAAUAUAUAGUCUGCAGACCUGAUGGAUUGAUAAUUUUAGCCUGACUGUAUGCAUUCGUCAAUCGCCCACUACGUCUCUAGUUCGAAAAAACUCAAUGCAUAAAAUUUUCUACAAAAUUUAAUUUCCUCACGGACUUGAAAUUUGGAAAACAUGCCUGGACAGCAGAAUUAAAUCAAUACUUCGGAAAGGCUCUUACAGAUGCAGAGCAGUAUUCUGUAAGAUAUUCUGCCUGUGAAGGAAUCCCUUCUGGAAUGCCAGUAAGUUCAAAACCUUUAAUCAAUUGUUUAUUGUCAAGGUUAAAAUCCACUGUGUAAGCCUGCCAAGAAAGAAGAAAGCAAUUAAGUUAAACAUAUUGCUAAAGUAACAUUAAAGCUUUCACCAAUUGUGCAAAUCAAUAAAGCUCAAGCAAAAAUAUUGCGGCUUUUGCAUCAUACAUAAAAAAGAAAAUGCAAAGAUAAAAAAGAUGUGUUACCAAACAGCUGUAUGCAACAUCACUCAUUUGAUUUCCAAGAGUGGACAAUUCCCAGUCAAGAAUACCAAUUACUCGGUCCUGCACCGGUAGGGUUACUCAUCAGGCUAAUUACUCCAAUAAUUUAAGCUGUUCCAGACUAUUCAUUGAAGUUUAAGUUUGAAGACACUAGGAAUAACAAAGCAUACAUGGUAAUUGGUUCACAUCUCUUCCUCCAUCAGACUUUGAUGGAGACAAUUAUGUCAAACCGCUAAGGACCCAAAUCAAAGCUGAAAACAUAUGCAUUUGAACUAAUAAGAACCUUCAGAGCAACGGACCUCAGUGGGGUGAAAUACAACAUUAUCAAUGCGAAAGUCCCCAUGAACUAGACCUGCAGAUGCCCCAGAAGAAUCUUCAGGAGGAAUGUGUUGCAGUAACCAAUUAGAGAGCUCCAACAUCUUUGGAUUUCUUGGAGACUUGCCCUCACCAGUCGAUGAGAUGUACUGUUUAGUCCAUCUCUCUAUCUGAAAAAGAAAACCAUAAGCGACAUCAUCGAGUUGUAAGGCAACACUUCAAGCCAAAAACUUCCAGUUGUACUUUUCCUCCAAACUCCAACACAACGUCUAUGUUGCCCCUUUCUAAAUUAGCCCAGAAUUAGAGAAGCUAAUAUCUAGAGUUAAAACCAGUGUACCUGUCGUUUACAAUAGUUAUCCUUCCGUCCAUAUCUUCCCAGGCCAAUAGCAUCUACAUUAGCAGAAUGUAAAGCAGCCAACACUCUUGCAGUUUCUUGAUAUAUUGCCCUCCUGCUGUUUGGCGCCACGCCCUGAUCAAACAAGCAUCGGCUCAAUUACACUAACCUUCCAACUUAUAUCACAACAAUUCACAAAAAAAUUUGAACUAUUGUAUUUGCGAUGCCAAAUUUGCAAAAAAAAAAAAAAACCAGAUAGUAAUGCCAUACCGGUAGCUUAGGGUCUAUGAAAAUGCGACCUUCUAGAUACUCCAUAAUAUAAAAUGCAGUUCCAAUUAUACUUGGAUCUGUACACAAACAGAAAACUUUAGGAACAGGAACUCGCGUGUGUUCCCCCAGCGCCCGCAAAACCUGUUAAAUUAAAUUAAAAAUAUUAAAAACAACACAGAAUUAAGCUCCAUUUUAUUAUUUUGAUAGCAUAAUAAUUUGCUCCUUUCAUUUUUCAUUCAAUGAAGAACAGAGAGAGAGAAAAAAAAAUUACACUUAUACCAAUCAAGUCUAAACCAAUUAACCGAAACUACCAGAUAUUCUCUGUCUACAGCAUGAGCAGACUGGAGCAAUUUGCCAGGAGGCUUCUUCCUCAAAACGUAGCGUUUAACGGAGGCUCCUGUUCCCACUUCCAACAGAAACGUAGGAUUCGAUUGUCCGUGCCCGAACUAAAUUAGUACAUAAAUACAAGCAAACAGAACAUCAUAAUUAAGAGAAGGAGAAGAAAGGAAAUUCCAAAAGAAAAUUAAAUCCUAAUAAAAACCUGUUUGACGAUGAAGGUGGAGGGAGAGACGGGGAAACCAGCAACAUUAGCAGAGGCGUAGCGAAACAAAGCGUCACGGUCAAACUCGUGAGCUUGCUGAACUUGCCUUAAUAACUCAGAUGUAUGGAUCGCCAUUUUCAAUUUCGUUUUGUUUGGUAACAAAAAUUAGAGAAAAGGAAGAAGAUUAUAAGAUUAGAGAUUAGGCCGUUUCAACCAUAUGACAUGAACACGGAAGCAAAAGGCCGAAGGGAGGAACCGGGAACUAGGGACGUGUAAGGAAAUGGGUCUUGGACGGUGGUGAUAUUAUCGUCUGGCUUCGAACAAAUCGAGAAAACUUGCAAACGUGGUGGAUUAUUUAUCUGUACUCUCGAGACCGAUGUGUACGCACGUCAAGCGCGGAGAUUGCUGCCUUGUUGGGAUUCGUACUUUUUUGAUUAAGAGCGCGUGUUGAAGCUGCGAGGGUGGUGAAUUCCCAAUGAUUGCAAAUUAUUUAAAUUAUCCUAGAGAAUGGGGAUCGCGGCAGACGGCAGUAUGGGAUACGCUUCACGAUGGAGUUUUGUCACUUAGAUAAACUUAUUUACAUAAUUGUAAAUGAUUAUAAAUGAUUUCAGACACUGUUAUGAAAUGCGGAAAUGGAUUUUUCCUUUUAAUUUUUUUAAAUGAAUGGGGAAAUAGAUUUAAUUGUCUUAAUUUUUAAUAAAAUGAAAAUCCAGUAAGGAAUUUUCCUUUUACUACUGGAAACUAUCGACAUAGGUCCAAUACCAGUGGGCCCAAUGCAAUUUCAGGAUUGGGGUCCAACCACCGUAAUCAAUUAGUACAACGGGAAAAAAAUCCAGAAACAUGCAAGACAAACACACGUAGCACAAAAUUAUGAAAUUGUUCUGCAAAUAAAAAAACAACCACAAAUUAUUAUUUUUUUUUUUUGAAAAGAACAACCACAAAUUAUUACUACGAAAGAAGCAACAUUUUGAUUAAACAUAAACAUGUUAAACAGUAGCCAGCCUCUUCGGCCCACAAGAGCUUACGGCUGCUCAUCAACUGCUGGUGUCAUAGCCUUCACCUACAACCCAAAAAAAAAUCAAAACAACAAAUUCAAUCCACCUCGUCUUUACCUAGAUCAUAAUUCAGCUUCACAUUGUCUACACUUUGUUUUGGAUUGGUUAUGUUCUAUGAUAUGCCAUGGCUCUAGCACAAGGAAAUUUAAUAAACAAAACUCUCUUGCUCUUAGUAGAGAUGUCUAGUACAUGAGUAUAUUUGAAAAUCCUUCACUGUUAUGAUAUAAUUGAAAAGCAGUCUAAGAGGACAAAAGGAGUCGACCAGUUCGAAUAAGAUUACUAACCAGAUUGCGAAACUUGAGAACAUAAAACAUCUCCAAGUAUCGCCUUAUCUCUCUCCUCUCAAGCUUAGACACAUGCUUCCAGAAGCCAUAAACUCCAGCUAAUGUCAGCAACCUCUCAGAAUAUAUCUUCCAUGUAUACCUACAAAACUCAAAAUUGAGGGAAUUGGUAAAAACGACCAUUUUCACGGGCAAGAACAAGGUAAAUUCUGAAAGCAAGAAACGGAAAUACUUCUCAUAAAUUCUUUUAAGCCCUCCAUCAGAAAUCUUGUUCCAGUAGCUAGGAUCUUCCUUGCACCGUUCAAAGAAAUUGAUGAGAAGUGCAGCAGCACAUUCAGGCUGAUGGGGGUCAACAUGGAACCCUGAAAUCCCAUGCUCAAUGAUCUCAGCAGGACCACCGUGACAAGUGGCAAAAGUAGGAAGUCCAGAAGUCAUGGCUUCCACAACAGUGAGGCCAAAAGCUUCAUAGAAAGCAGGCUGAAAUAAAAUACAUGCAGUUAAUAAAGUAAAUUUUGCAAAGAAGCUGAGGUUAAGAAUUUUGGUGUUCUACUCCACAUACCUGUACAAAAGCACCUUUUGCAUCAGCAAUGUACCGAUAGAGCUCACCAUUACGAGCACGGUUCAUUUGGGCAGCUAUCCAGCGAAACUGGCCAUGCAGAUCAUACUGCUUUAUGAGGGCAUGCAUCUUUUCAAUCUCUGCCAUUUCUUCUCUAUCCCUGGAUUGCUUCACAUUUAUGUACCCACCAACCACAACAAGAUUCACAAGUUCUCUUAGCUGGCUGCUUCUACCAUAGCACUCAACAAGUCCUGUCAGGUUCUUCACCCUAUCAAGUCUUGCCAUGGAAAAGAUGAUGGGCUUUGAUUGGUCUGUUAAAAAACCUCUGCAUUUGCCAAGAUGAAAUAGGUAUCAAAUGUCAUCAUUGCCACCCAUAUUGCCAAUUAGCAAUUCAAAUAGCUAAGGAAAGAAUCUUAAAAUGCACAAUCUUCAUGAAAUGAUAAACUUGUAAAAAGAGUGAAAUGCAGAUCUGCAAGUGAUGAAAUAAGAGACUCAAAUUAAACAGAGCUUGCUUGCAAAUGCUUAACCAAAUGACAGUACAUUACAACAGGCAUAUCAUAUCUCAUGCCAUGACAGAGACACUUUGAGCAACAGAUUUUGCCCAUCGAUACUCAAUCUGAUGAGGCACUAUAAGAAAAUAACUCAGUGAAGGUAACAUUUUCCUCAUCCAUCAUACUGAGAUUUCAAGAACAAUUAGUGGAGGAUAAAACAUAUGGUUAAAUAUCUCAUAGAUGUGGAGCCAAGAGUUGGCUUUCCAUAUAGCCAUGGUAUUUUUUAGAACCAAAGGAAAACCAAUAAUUACUACUGAGUUAUAAUCUAGCAUAAAAGAUACUCACACAUGCUCCUCAUUCUGCUCAGGAUCAUAUAAGAGUUCUUCAAUUGAACCAUGUAAAGCAGUAAGUCUUCUUUCCCUUUCGGAGUAUGGAAAAUAUAUGCACAUAUCUGCUCCCGGAGAGACUAUAUUAAACUUGGGAUCAAAAACGUCAAUACCAUGAACAACUCGAUACAGCCCAGGAAGAGUAAAAGCAGUAUGGCUCUCAUACUGUCCAACAUUAGUCUUGCUGAGACAAAGAAACAUUUGUUUAGAAUUAAAACCAAAUAAACCAAACUGUGCAAGUAUCUUAAGUGGUUAAAACAAUGAAUAAAUAGAAUGUAUGUGGCUGAAAAAACUGAGAUUUUAUCCAGCUGGUGAAUCUUGCUCAGGAUUCAUAGUACUUUUUUUUUUCUUCCUUGAAGAAAGGACUUACCUUCCUGCAAUCUCCUGGUACGUACUAGUGAUAAUAAAAUCUGCAUUGUUCAUUGCAAUAAGAUCAGCUGUAAACUGACUUGCAAAAUGGUACUUGUCGUCAUAUUUUCUCCAGUAUAUAUCAGAAUCCGGAUACUUUAUUUUCUCCAAUGCAUGCGCAAUGUUGCACUGCAAAAAAAAUUGAAUUUAACAGAUCAAAAAAGUAUUAUGCUCUACAAUUUGGUUGCUGUACUACGAACUUUCAGAUACUAGUUUUGAUAACACAAAAAACCUGCGUAAUUCCUAGCUUAUAAGACAACAAAGAAGCAACAAGAUUUCCAUCACUAUAAUUUCCAAUAAUAAGAUCUGGAACUCCUUGUAAUUCGGCAGCAAUUUCAUUUGAUGCAUCCUGCAAAUGGCAGUCAAAUAAAGGAAACAAUCAUAUAAUAAAUCCAAAAUAAAUUCCAAUGUUAAACUUCUUUCAUAUUAAACCUGAUCCAGGCAUUCUAUCACCAACUAUACAAUGAAAUAAAAAUUCUUGAAUUAUCCAAUCUAACAUGGAUUAGAUUUUUAAUCAGGAAAAGGGUUAAACAUGCCAAGAAAUUUGAAAGCUUCCAAUGCAGAACUCUUUACUAUUGUCUCACUCACAAGUCUAGAUUCAGUAACACGUAAACUUUAUUCCACCACCAUAAUGAAGCAUCCUCAGUGAGGGAUUAAGGAUGUAGUCUCAAGCAGCCUCUAUAAUGAUUUCACUCACAAUUCUAGAUUCCCAACUAGAAUCAAUAAACAUGGCCACAAAUAAACCAGAUAAGAUUGCUCAUUGUGACACCAAAAGGCAUCCUAAUGAAGAAAGAAAGAAAAGAAAGAAAAGAAAGAAAAAUGAAAGGAAAUAAAUAAGACUUUGUUUGAAAGCUUACAUCUGCAAAGGUCUCCAAGAAUGGCCACACAUCAAACCUUGAAAUCCAUUUAUGAAGAAUACCAUUCUCAUUUCUAAAAGGCACCCGCAAAAUAUAUGUGUGUUCCGUACCGCUGAUUCUUUCAAGUCUCUGGUUGCAUGUUGUGCCUUUUGCAUUGGGUAUUAGUCGUGUGACCUUAAACACCAUUCAGGGAAGUGUAAUAUGAAUAUCAAAAUGGAAAUUCACUCAAACCAAGUGAAUGAGCAAGCAAGAUAAAAAUGGAAUAUCAGAAUUGGGCAACUGGAUCAUAAAGCAUACUUACUAUAAGGAUUUUUGGGGUAACAUCCAAUCCUUGUUUUUCUAUUCUAGAUAUCAUCUCAUUCUCUAAUGCACGCACUUGAUCAAGUAUGUAAACAACCUGUGCAGGGAUAAGAAUGGUAUAAUGCAUCAUAUAUUCACUGCAUGAACCUUUUCUACAGUUAAAACGAAUGGUUCUUUCUGCCAGAAUAUGAAUAAAUAUAGAAUGGCAGGAAACCUUUGACACUCAAGUUUGAACCACUUAAGAAUAAUCCAAUUGAUACCUGCCCACCAGUGUCUGGCAAUCCUAAGACAUUUGCUUGACCAAAGUAACCAUGUGGAGACACAAUGACGACAUUGAAAACCAUAGGAAUCAUCCCAAGAAAUGACUCUAAGGUCGAAGGAUCCGGAGCCUGAAGGAUCUCCAAGAGCAGAUGCACCAUCUCUGAUACCCGUUCUGCUGUGUCACCCCAACCUCUUUCAAAACCCAUUCCUUGUAACCUACACUUCAAAGAAUUGAAGAAAAAUCUAAGUAUUCAAUCAAAAUAGAUGGAAGGAUGCAGAAUUUUUUUGAUUUAUUAUUAUUAUUAUUAUUUGAGAAGCAAAUUUUGGGAUACUUAAAAACAAACUUAAUUUCUUACUCAAAUUCAAACUCAGAGUAUGGUGUAUCUGGUGGAAGCUUAGAGAGGUGUUCUUCUGCCCUUGCCAAAGCAGAACGUAGUUUGGGUAUGCUCUGUAUCCGAUCAUUCAGCAUCAGGGCCUACAAAAUAUAGUGGUCAAAUCAGAAUGUUUGACAUUAAGAUCUUUCCUUCAUUGCAAAAUAUUUUGAAUAAUGCAACCACAAAAGGAGAGAGGCAUGAUAUGGGAAACCUAGCAUUAUAGCAUAAUUCACAGUGAAAUCAAAGUGAAGAUCAAAGUUCUCCAGAAAUUUUAUCUCGAACUGCUAUUUAAUUAAGAAUUUGACAAAAAUAAUAAUUAAUGCAAAUGGAAAAAAAAAAAAAAAAAAAAAAAGAAUUGCUUGUUGGAAAGAGCAUUAGCAAACUCACAUGACCAUCAUGCUUAUGCUUACGCAAAAAAUCAAGCAGAGGGUCCAAACUUUCUUUGUUGCGAAACAUAAUUGAAGAUAGGUGACGGUUCAGGAAUUGAACCCCAUUUCCAAUGGAUGAUGACCGGGUUGGCCGGGGGAAUGUUGCAUUAAAUGGCUCAAAAUCAAGUUCAAGCACAUAAUUGUCAUUGCAUCUGUAAACAUUUCAAAAUCCCAGUGUUAAUAUGCGCAUUAAAAGAGUUCGAACGUAGAACAAUUUUCUGAAAGGGAAAUUUAUUAUAUUAAUUCUUACUGGCCAUCCACAAGUUCUUCUUUUAAUCGAAGGUAUUCAGCAACAGUUAAAUGAUCCACGCUGAGUUCAUAGACAUUAACGCGAACAUAUUCCCAAACACCAGGAAUUGGACGAAUUGCUAUUGCAACAAAUGGAGGUAGGACAAUAGCUUCCUACAACGUUAGGACGACAUUAAGAAAAUUAUAAAGAGAAGAAAACAAAUAAUUCUCAUCUUUCAUGUAAUACAUGAACAUUUUUUUUCUUUUUUUUUCUUUUUUUUUUUUUUUUUUUUUUUUUUUUUUUUUUUUUUUUUUUUUUGUAAAAUAAAGUUAGAGUAGAUUUGCAGAAUAUCCAAAUUCCAGAAUCGCAAUUAAGUAAAUGUAGAACGCUUAAGCCAAAAAUAAAAUAAUAACAAUAAGCCAAAAAUAAAUAGUACAUACCACUUUAAUGACAAAAGCAAGAAAAAAUAAAAGAUAAUUUAACGUGAAUCACACCUAACUAGUACUAAACUCAUGCAUUAGGAAACAAAAACCACGAAGAUAAAUGAGAGUCUACCUGUGCAGAUUCAAGCAUUUUAGUGAAGGGGCUAUCGCGAAGCUUCUCCAAUCCUUCGUCAUCUUUAACGACUCUGGCAAGCUCUAUUAGCAGCUGAUGAGCUUGCAGAAUUCCUUUCCCUUGAGCCACAUACCUUGCAAAAUCAACAAAAACCCAUUUUCCAAAUCAGCUAUCAUACUCUUAGCCUAACUAACAGAAUACACAUAGACAUGCAUAUCUCAACAACAUUUACAUGUACGAACCUGGAAAGAAGAGAAACAAGCUCGACACGGUAAGUAGAGAGAAUGUCCCGCACCCUUUCUCGUAUGCUAGAGAGCGGCAUCGCUCCGAAUCCUCAAAAUCACGUUUUCUCUUCAGACGAGCAAAAUCGGACAAACAGCGAGAAACUAAAAGCAAUCAGUAGGAGGAUAAAUGGAUAGGAGAGACAUUUGAUGAUGAAGUGAAUACCAUAUAUAUAGCCAUAUAUAGAGCAAAUAGCGAAAUCGACAAGGUGCAGAUGGAGCCAAAAACACCAAUAGAGAAACUGCCAUAGCUUUUUCACUUUGUUUGCUGCGACUCGAGUCUGAUUGUGAGAAGGGGCACUUGGCAUUGCAUUUCAGGGAGCAAAUUGAAAAUGUACAACACAACACUUUCCCUCUCUUUCCGAACGUGAAACGGUGGGCUCUGUGCUUAUGUUUGUUUCAUUUUGCUCAUAGACUGUCACGCCCAUUUGAGGUUUGAAAGCGUGUAGUUUACGCCCCAUGGAGAGUGUAGAUGAUGCCGAUCAGCCCAGAAUUCAGCCAAUGAAAUGUUGAAAUGACAGUUUGUCAGCGGUUGAAGACGGUGCAUUGUAGGCAGUUUUUUCUUGGGCCCAAACAGGUCAAGAACCGAAUGACUGGCCCAAAACAGUUGGGUUUGGACUAUUUUUAUGGGCUUGUUUCCUCUGAAGAUUUGACCCAACUCCCAACAAGGCUAUGUCACGUUGAUUACGUCAUAUAGCGAGGUUAAUAGAACCUUACCUGAAGAGGCGAUAUUAUUAUUAGCUAGCAAUAUUACUAAGAAAAUAAUAAUGAAGAGCAAGAACCAGAUACCAAGGGAAAAUGAUUCUAUUUAUACUCAAUUCGUACACGUACUGAAAUUGAAAUUGGAAAUAAGUUGCUUAUUGGAAUCAAUUCUCAGUGAUCUAACGACACUUUUUUUUUAGAGGAUCCUAAUGGCACUUUUGAGCAAGAUAUAUAUGUGAAUAGCAAAAGGAUAGGAACUUCACAAUAAUAUAUAAUUUGCUGAAAAUUUAAUUAAUGGAAUAAUUUUUUAUCCAAAAAAUUGAUAGAAUAAAUGUAUAUCGUAUAUUAUCAGUAUAACUUUUCACUACGUGGCUCGUCAAAAGGUUUUAAGAAUGUACUCUUAUUCAAAAUCUUUAAUUUAAAAAUAAAAAUUUUUAUUUUCAAAAAUUGAUUUUUGAAUAAAUUAUAUAUUACUUUAUUUAAAAAAGAACAAAUUGAGUUUUAUUCCAUCGAAUAUAUAUAUCCGGUGAUUCAGACGGGAAGAAAUCAAAAAGAUAUCCAGGUUCUACAUUUUUCCGUUUUUUUUUUUUUUCGAAAGGAAGGUUCAACAUUUUUCAUUACUACAUUGUUUUGCUGCCUAUAUAAAGUGGGUUGGUUAAUUAUUAACUAUCAAAGCAAAACUAACUAAACAAAAACCACCUGAAAUUCUCUCUCUCUCCAAAAAAAAAAAAAAAAAAAAAAAUCUCUCUCUCUCAAAAAAAAAAAAAAAAAAACGUAUAGCUAUUAUUGGUUCGAAUGGCAAGCAAUAUAGAUGAUCGUCUUCUUAAUGCUGCGUUUGAAGGCUUUUCUAGCUUGGAAGGGCGCCGGAACAAGAGGCCAAAUCCAGCUGCAGGGAGACCUCAGACUCAGAGUGCUACCAACAACCAUCAUCAGCUUCCGGCAAUCACUAGCAAAGAGGCAGCACAACGCUACGGUGGGAUAGUGAUAGAACCAGUUAUCACUAGCGACAAGGCCGCCAAACGCUACGGCGGCAUAGUUAUAGGGCCCGCUGUCACUAGCGAUAUGGCAGUUCAACGUUAUGGCGGUGUUCUUAUUACAGAUCGUCCAACGGAAAAACAUUAACGGGGCUUAGCUUAAGAUUAUCGAAUUAAAAAGGGCUUGUGUAAUUAAAAAAGGCUUUGUGACGAUGUACUGCUACUGCUAAAUAUGUAUCUUUUGUAUCUCCUGGCACUGGUUGUCUCUUCCAAAUAUAAUAACAAUAAUCUUUCUUCCUUCUUGUUUCCAGAUCAUAUAUAUAUAUAUAUAUAUAUAUGCAUAUGAGAGAUAUUUUAGUCAUUAUCUCUUGCCUCUUAAUUAAAAUUAAUUUAAGGUUAAUUACAGUAAUUCAUCUGCUAUUCAGAUCUUGGAUCGAGACUUUUAAUCACGCUUUCUUCUUCUUUAUUAUUAUUAUUUUUUAAAUUUAAUUGAGCCUAAUACAAUUACUUCUACAGUUCAAUUAUAUAUAUAUAUAUCAUUCAACAAAUUGGUUGGACAUUCUAUUAUUUACAUUUUACUCGCAAUUUCAAAAUAAAACCAAACCUAGCCGGUGAAAGACAUGAUGAAUGUUUGAUGAGUUACUAUACCCUCCAAACUCUUUGCACUAUACGCAUCAAUGAAACAUAAACAAAUUAAAUUAAUUAAAAUCUCGUGCAAUCAAUAAAGAAGAAAUACGAGUAGGAUUGUAAAUGAGACAAACUGCUCGUGAGCUGUUCGAGGCUCAAUUCAUAAAAAUUCGAUUGGGCUUGGCUCGAUAAAACUCGUUCGAUAAGCUUAUCGAGCCGAACUAUUGAGCUCGUUUAAUAAACAAGCUGAGUUCAAGCUCGGCUCAUUAGCUCGCGAGCUAGCUUUAUCGAGCUGAACCCACUUUAAAUUUGGCUAUUUUAAAUGAUCUAAGCUCAACUUAGCAUCCUAACACUAUUAUCAGAUAUACAUGGUUUUCAAAGUUGUGGUGAUUUUGAUGGAAUCCAUAUCAAAAAGUGCCCCUGAGAAUCCAUUUCAGAUGGAUAAAUUCAGUUGUCCACUGAUUGAUUAAUUGUGACUGAAAUGGAAAAACCAAAAGAAGAAAAAAAAAAAAGGUUAAUGAGGAAUCAUAUCAUUCUACACGAAAAGAAGUAGGAUUGGAAACAAGUUGGUGCGAUCAAUAAAAUAUUGAACUUUUUACUUCAUAUAACUUGGAAAGAGUCCUUCAGUGCCAUAAAAGUUAAUUUCAUAAUUUGGAAUCAUAUCUUCUUUUUCGUGAUAUUUUAUUUUUAAUAUAGCUUCAUGGAUAAAUAUAUUCCAUAUAUACAUAUCUUUUUCUUUUGCAAUAAGAUUGGGACAAACGUGCUAAGGUGACCCAAAUCUCAGACCAUCUCACAUGUAGGAGCACUGCUUGUGUCCCAUCGAUGCUUAGCUUAUAUUUAUCUUAUUCCUUUUACCUUAAUUAUACUUCUUUCUCCUUAAUUAUACCUUCGUGGUAAUUAACGAUUUUAUCCUGCCACUUCAACACCUCUCAUGGGCAUAAUUGUCAGUAUCUGUUUACACAACUUAGAAAAUCAACCAGAUCAUAUUGAUUAUGCUAUGUAUACAUACAAACGUCAUAUUUCUUGCAUCACAGUCUUACAUCGGGUCAAAAAGACAUAUCAACUAGGAUUGGAAGGAAUAUAUAAAUCAGUAUUCAACGAACAAUGACUGACAUUUGCCAAGUUAGUGAGGAAUCAGAUGCACAGAAGACUGAUGAGGAACUAUUCCUUCUGAACGCGAAAUGAAUUUGGAUAAAGAACAAGGUACUGAGAAUUAUGGAGCCUAUCCCUUAAUAAUUGAGGGAGUAGACUUGGCUAGAGCUCUAUAUAAAGAGACCAGGUCCCGAACAUUGAUAACCAAGCCAAGUAAUUAAGCAACGAUUUGUUCUUAUACAGGCAUUACUUUGAUAUGGCACGUCAGAAUGAGCGUGGUAAUCUUGCUAAAAUCGGGUUGGAAGCAUUUUCCGCCGUGGAUGAAUACUUGGCCAGGUCCAAGAGGCUAGGCACGAGGCAUCCUCAUCAGAUAAACCCAUUGAUACCUGUUAUCGACAGCAAUGAGGCAGCAAAACGAUAUGGGGGUAAAGUUUUUAUGGAUUAUCCCAAGGCCAUGGGAAAAAACCAAUCUGCUGAUGAGAUUGGAAGGCUUAAAAUCGUAAGAAACCAUUAAUUUGAAAAUUUAAUCAAUCUUACCAGGUUGUUGUAUAUUUGUACGUACUAAUAUGCUGGAAUAAGCAAGUCAGAUAUAAAAAGAGCAAGUUCUGAUACGUGUUUAGGUUUUUGCUGCAGCUAUGAAGAGCAUGCGCUAGUUAACUGUGUAAUAUAUGAAGGAGUAUUGACAACCGGUGACUUGUAUUUGUACUCCUGUUGUGUAUAUAAAGAAAAGAACUCUCAAGCUAGUUUCAUCUAAUCAAAGAAUUUUCUCUAUAUCUCUUUCCUGUAUCUAUAUUUGGCCAUGGUUAAUUUUGCUCAUGACAGGUUUAUACCCACAGGUUCUUUUGGGAAAAUUAUCAUAGAACAAUUUUUUUCUGUUUUCCUUUGUUGAAAGAUAGAAAUUAUUAUUAAGAAUGAAGAUCAUGAACAAUAAGAGCUUCUAUAUGUCUAGGAAGCUCAUACCAAACUUGACGACUAGGAUCUGAAUAAGCAACCCUUCGUAUCCAAGUAACAGAAAUACUAUUACUCCAAGAAGCUAAAUCAACCCGAUCUGAAACAACAUCCCCCAUUCAGAUAGGUCAGUGACAGGACUUGUGAAAAGACUUCCAAACGUCCUGUGCAUCUAUUUCAAUACAUAUAUUUGUAAAGUUGCGUUGCUUCAGCAAUGAAAGGACCUCACGCAAUCCAAGAGCCUCAACCAUUCUUGAUUUAUGAGCACCUAUAAAGUAACCCGACAAAGCCAUCACAAAUUGUCGCUGAAAAUUCCGAAUCAUAGCACCAAAACCAGACAUGUUAAUAUCUUUGAAAACGGCACCAUCAAUAUUACAUUUAAAGACCCAGUCGGAGGACAGCUCCAACGUGAAAUUUCCCUAGGAACAGCAAGCCGUAGAGGUUGGGUACCUGUUACCCUCGACCCAUCAUCCUCAUCAGACCUGGCGCAUUUCCAUUCAUGAAGGUACUUAAGGGCUUGAGACACCAAAUCUGAAGAAGAAACUCGCAUACUUUGCCAUAUAGAUAAGUUGCGAUAGAACUACAUAAACCAGGCCAACACUCAACACUUUUUUUUUCUGUUUUCUUUAUGUACCUUAAUUUAAAAAAAAGUGUAUGUAUUCCAAUUUUUACAAAAAACUUUAUCUUUUUCUAAUCAGUAAAACAUGUUAACUAGAUUUUAAUAAAAUUAUUUUAAUUUUAUGAAAUUAACUAUAUAUCAUUUUAUAAUUCAAAAUAAGAAUAUUGUUAAGAACAAACGUAUAAUGACACCACCAAGUAUGAUAACGUAAAUUUUUAUGGUUUUGACGAAGAGUAUAGUUACUCUUUAUCACAUAUGUGUUCAAUAGGGGGAAAAAAAAAAAUCAAUAGCGAAACAGGAAUACACAAAAAAAAAAAAAGAAAAAAGAUUUUGUUCCUAGGAAAUUUAUUUACAAAUUAAAUGGAGAGAUAUAGGCUAUCUGGCCAACUCAGCAUCUCCAUCUCCGACAGAUAAACAAGAAUCCUUUUGCUUCCAAAACCGAUUGAUUAUAAGAAUACGACUGAUCACAUUGAAGUGCUACAAAUGCCUAAUCCAACGCAUCUCAUGCAUUAUUUAUGCAGAAAAUCCUAAUUUUCGGACAGAUAGUGAUGAUAACUUCUAUCCCUAAGAAAAGAAUUAAAUCCUGCUUUUGCAAGUAGUUAGACGCUCUGCCUCGUGUAUGUUACAGGUUUUUUUCGACUUUUUUUUUUGUCUUUGUAUUGUUGUGGGCAGGUACAAAUGUUGGAGGAAUCUUUUAAAGAUGACAACCCUUUUUUUAUAAGAUGGAAAAUUCUCUUAAAAAAAAUAUCUAGGUAUACGAUAUGGAUUUUGAAUAGACCAGUCACCAGUGGAUUAUUCGUCGAAAGGCAGAAUUUACUGAUAAAAACCAUUAAGGUGGAAUUGAAUCGAACAGAUUAAUUUAAAUCAAUUUGAUUUUAUAUUAAUAGAUUGAAUUUCGGUCUCCAAAGAAAAAAUUAGAAAAAAAUUUCGCUUUAAUUUAAUUUUUAAAAAUUUUAAAAAACUAUAGAAAAAUCAAAAAAUGAACCAAAGUAAUUCAAUUCCUUUUAAAAAUUUUGAUUUAUUCAAUUUGAAUCGAAUCCAUGAAAACCCUAGGUGGCAUAAGCUGCAACCUCAUUCACAACAUGGAUAAGACUUGCAAGUGGGACCAAAAAGUGGGAAGCUAAGCCACAAUGAUCCCUGUAUAUAUAAAUGAAGCCCUGCCUCGUCCCCUUCAAAGCAAAGCAAACAGACACCAUUCAAACUAGGGCAAGAAGCUAUCCAAAGAUAUAUAGUUUUAGUAGAAUCAAUUAGAUUUAUGGCACCUCAAUUAGAUCGUCUAGUCAAGAUCGGAGAUGAAGGGUUCGCUCUAAUAGAGGAAUGUUAUGGUCGGAACAACCCGACUGGAAGAUCAGGCAGUGGCAGGGCUCUAUCAAGUCAAGGGCAUGAAUAUCAUCAUCAUCGUCAACAGCCUCUUGUUUAUCAUGGACCUCAAAUUUCAACAGUAAGAAUGCCAGUAGCCGUAAGCAACGAGAUAGCUCAACACUACGGCGGAGGCAGCACCGGAAAAAAGCCAGUGAUGAUCACUAGUGACCAGGCAGCUGAAUAUUAUGGUGGGUUGGCGAUCAUGGAAUAUGGUUUGAGAAAUCGUUCUGGCCGCACCUAAAUUAGUACUACGUACUGAUCCAAGCUGCAAGUUUUCUCAAUUAGUAGUGUUUUUUGUAAGUUACUAAUUACAGAUGCGUGUGGUUUUGUAUGUAAUUACGUACGUAUUAACUAUUAAGUAAACAUAAGCCUCUUGUACUUCGGAAUUGCAGAGAACAGUCAGUACGUAUUAUCAGGCUGUAGAGAAUCACCAUGUAGCUAAAAUCAUCCUCUGUGUUGUUAUAAAAAAAGUAUACGGAGGGUUUGUAAAUUGUAGCUCUUUUCUUGUUACUUGAUAACAUAGUUUAUCUUAUCUGUUACUUAGAAUUUCUGAUUUACAUGCUUUUAUUUCUCUCAUUUCAUUUGACUGUUCGAUUAAUUUUUUAGCUUCUUAAAGUCAGUAACAGAGCAAUAGUAAUUCUCCUGUUUCCCUUAUAAUUGCAGAGAAAAAGUUCAUCUGCGAUUGUGAUGACGACGGAUUCUCUUGCAUUAUAAGAGAAUCUUAAUACAGGACUUGUCAUUCUCAUUUUUCCGCAUCUUAACUUUCAUAUGUUUAAGAUGUUAGAAUCUUCAUGAAUGCCAAGUUGCAAACAAUUAUUAAUGGCUCCACUAUAUAUAUGACUAUCCAAUAGCAGAAGAGCAACCCAAGAACAAAAAUAUGCAUUCCCUAAAUGCAUGCAAGUUAACCUUCUCUUCAUAUGAAACUUAAUUCAGGUGAAAACACAAGCAAGAACUGAAAUCAAGAAGCUUCUAAAAUGAAUUUGAUAUUCUUGAUAUUUUCAGAGGAUGGCAUGAUUAAUUAAUUAACUAGUUACUUUGGCUUGGCAAUAGUAUUCAAAAAGCAUAUAUGCAGAUUAGGUUUCAAUUAAUAAUCCAAUAUAUUAGGCCAGAUUUAAAGAAACAGUAUCACCUAUUGGUAACAGAUUCCAGUUAGAGAAAAAGUGGACUCAGCCCCAUCCUUUUUAUCAUCUUCAUUGUUUUAAAAUUUUUAAGCUGAAGAAUUAGCAAGAUACAACGAUAAGUUUCUGCGAGCAAAAAUAGAUUUGGACAGACCAAAUCUAUUGAUACCGCCUUUUUCUUUUUGGAAUAUCAUAUAUUAUAAAGUAGGAAAGUGUUGCCCAGAUUUAAAUUUCUUUCUGGAAAGCAAUAAGAUAGAUAUAUAUAUAUAUAUAUAUAUAUAUAUAUAUACAGUAUUUCUCCAAUGGCAAUCAUAUGUGCUUUGAUGCUUCCAUGGAAAAUAAAAAACAACGAAAAAGAAAAUAAAAUGAUUCUUUAAAUGCAUUUCUAUUCUAUGGCUUUGAUCUUUCCUAAAUCACCAACUUUUGUCGGCUUUUGUUUGGGAUUUCUUGGAAUAAAUAUGUCUAACCCCACAAGCGGACUAGAAUAAUUUCUGUGUCUGUGAAGCCACAAAAUUACGCAUAUUGUCUAUUUUUUUCCUUCCAACGGGACAAAUUUAAAGAAUCAGAUGAGAAAAAAGAAAUGUGCUAAAAUUAAAAAGAAUCUGUUUUGAAGAGAUUUAGAUCAAGAUUUCACUCUUAACCCUAAUAAUUAUGAAAAUAGAUGUUCACAUAUCGGACAUUUUUUAGUUAAUUUGGCUUCAAUCAAACUCAAUCGUUAGUCAAAAUUCAAUGGUAAAAUUGACUGAUAAUCUUAUAUAAUAUAUUAUAUACUAAGCAUUAAAAUUUUUUAUUCAAUUCAAAUUAUUCAAAUAUAAAAAUACCAUGAAAAUCAAAUACUUCAAAACAGCAUGAUUUAGUGGUAAGUCUCUAUAAUAAAUCCAAUUUCAAUCCCCAUUUUUAAAUACUCAAAAAAAAAAAAAAAAAAAAAAAAACCCUCAAAACAGAUUACGAAUCUUUGUCGUUUGACUGAAGUUUGGAAAUUACCUAACUCUCUUUGGACCAAAAAUGCCAAUUCAUUAGGACCGGAGGAAGAAAGUUCCAAUAAAAGAACAUUCAACUCAAUAAUAGAAGAACAAAAGGACAUAUUCUUUGCUGCCAUUUGAUAUGGUAGUUACAUGUUCGCAACAUAAAUUCACAUUGCAUUUACAAAAACUUUACCAAGUUAAAGGGAAAUUUACUUUUCUAGUAACUUGCAAUUUGCAAAUCACGAGGGAAAGUAAUACCUACUGUAUUACAUUUGAAUGGAAUAACAGAAGAAGGAAGGAAACGAGUGGAAUCAACGAAAGGCCCAUUGAGGUUUCCUCUACAUAUAUGCAUAUACUAUAUAACGGGGUAUUCAUUAGCAUAAAUCAAACAGCUUAAUUAAGACAAAGCUUAGCCUACUUGCAUACAUAUAUACAAAAAGAUAAUAAGUAGAUUGAUAUUAAUCUGUAGUGCGUUAUUUAAGGGCAUGGCACGUCAAGCAGAUCGUCUUUAUAAAGUCGGGUUGGAAGGCUUUUCACUCAUUGAUGAGUGGUAUGGCAGGCCUAAGAGGGUAGUUUCUUGGCAACAUCCAGAACAGAAGCCAAGGUCUUCUUCUAAUGAAUAUGAUAAUCAUGUAAUGCAAUUUCCCAGGUCAAAAAUGGAGACUACUGCCUUCACCAGUGAGGAGGCAGCUCAAUUCUAUGGUGGAGUUGUCAUCAAAGAUUAUCGCAAGAAAAAACAACUCUUCUCAGCUUAAUUAGUUAGCACCUACAACCUAAACCUAGCUAUUAUAUAACACAAUGGUCUGGUUCUAGCUUCUUUUCAUGUUUGUCUCGUCUUUGUUGUAAUUAUUAAGUCUCUCUCUGGCUCACUCUACUUCUUAUGUAAUUGGUAUGAUGCUCUAUUAAUGAUACUAAUUAUGAUGAACUCAAGAAAUUUAUGUUUAAUCUAUUUAGUGUUCAAUGAAUGUAUUAGGAUUUGAGAGAAGAAUAGCUAGUGCUUAAGUACGUUUUUUCACUUAUGGUUCCUCUAUUUAUAGGAGCAGAGGGUGAUAUUUUUUUUUUUUUCUUUUGAAACUAGCAGAGGGUGAUAGCUAGAGAUAAGAUAGUAGAGAGAUUUUCUCCACUAUCUUUCAGUUACUAACGUAUUUGGGGGGAUAUUGGGUUUUUUUGUGGAUUUUAUUAAGGAUUAUAUAUCAAUUGAAAGAACUCGUAGCAAAAUAUUUUGUAUAUAUUAAUUGAAAAAUAGAAAAUUAUUGUAGAAACAAUCAAGAAGUUAGAGGAGAAAUCAACAUCCAGAAUGCAUGUUCAUUCAGAUUGAACCAGAAAAAUUCUCCUCUAAACCAGUGGAGUGUGGAGAAAUUUUUCUUGUAAUUGUUUAGUGCAGCACUGGUGUUAAACUGGUGGCCUAAACACACAGCCAAAAACGGAGAAGUAGCAGCCUGUUUUUUUAUUAAAAAAAAGAGAGAAAGAAAGACACAGAUCUUUGCUCCUAAAUGUUAGGAAAGUAAAUACUAAAAAUAGCAUGUAUUCAAGCGAAGACAAAGCUAACCAAAUAUAUCAAUGGAGUUAAAAUGAACCCUAUAGAUAGCAUUUUAUCCUGAUCCACUCUUUGGCUAAAACUAUGGUAUAAAGAAAAGAGGCAUGGAAAGAGAACUCGUGUCACAAUCACGUUGAUCAAGCCUCCGUAUUGGGGCUUUCAAUUUUUUGUUUUUUAUAAAUUUCGCUGGAAUUAAUAAGAAAUAAACGGAUUGCCAGAUUGAUUGAAUUGAAGAAGAAUGGCAAUGGCCACAACAAAGAAUUCCUUGGCAAAAGCCAUUCUUCUCUUAUUCUUAGCAGCUGCCUCUUCUGAGGCAAAGCAUCUGGGCCACGCCAUUAGACCAUUUGCUCACAUUGGUGAGAAAAGAGAUCCCUUUGAGAAAAUCUUUAAUGUGCUACAUUUUGGUGCCAAAUGUAAUCCAAGAACAGAUAAUGCAUUGGUAAUAUAUGUCUCUAGUAACUCCUAUUCUCUAAUUGGAACUUACACAUGAACUGACUAAUUAUGCGAGUCCGUUUCGUGUUUGCAGAAUUUCAUAAAGGCAUGGAGGGCUGCAUGCGAUUGGAGGGGAAAAGCAAGACUACUUAUCCCAGCAGGGGAGUUCUUAGCCUCAGAAAUGGUAUUUGCUGGACCAUGUAAAAAUACAGCUCCCACUAUUGUUCAAAUUGUAGGGACUAUAAAAGCAGUAUCAGAUAUGAGUAGCUAUUCAGAAGAUUCCUGGAUGUUAUUCCAAAAUAUAAAUGGCUUGAUCAUUAAUGGAGGCAUUGUUGACGGCCAAGGCCCUAAUGUAUGGAAAUAUCACGAUGGUGGAGGCAGUGUUUUCCCAGCAGUAAGCAAAAUUAUUAAACUCUACUUCACAAAUUUCCCAUGUUAUCAGAAAAUGGUUGAAAUUAAUUCAAGAUAUUGACUUUUUUUUUUCUUUUUUUCUUCUUCAGUCGAUCAAAUUUUUUCGCGUAACAAAUGGAGUUAUAAGAAUGCUGCAUUCUGUUAACCCAAUGGGUUUCCACAUAGGAAUUGUUCUAUGUGAGAAUAUCAGAGUCACAAAUAUCCGUUUAGAUGCUCCUGACGAUAGCCCCAAUACAGAUGGAAUCCAUCUCAGCCAAACCCAUCUAGUAAAAAUAACAAGAAGUGUUAUUGCUACCGGAGAUGAUUGCGUUGGUAUGAUUCAUGGAUGCACUGAUAUCACCAUCAAGAAACUAACUUGUGGCCCUGGACAUGGCAUUAGGUAAUAUGGAACUCUCUAUCCACCAUUAAUGUUGCAAUAAAACCUGCAAUGCACUUACAUUUUAAGAGAUGCUCAUUGUUUCUUAUUAUUUCUUCCUCCACAACAGUAUUGGUAGUCUUGGAAAGUAUCCUGAUGAGAAGGAAGUGAAAGGUAUUACAGUGACAAACUGCACAUUGAAGAACACUGAUAAUGGAUUAAGAAUCAAAACAUGGGCAGGAUCACCUCCAAGCUGUGCUUCAGGCAUGACAUUCCAGGACAUCAUUAUGAAAAGCGUUAAGAACCCUAUCAUUAUUGAUCAAAGCUACGGAUCAGAGUCAAAUGAGGUAAAUCCUACGUCCUUUGUCCUUUCAAAUUGAAAGAAAUUCAAAAGAAAGACAGUAACAUAAUUCUGUGUGUUUGUAUAUUUGCAGCCAUCGAAGGUAAAGAUCAGUGAUGUUAAAUUCUUGAACGUUAGGGGAACCACAGUAUCAGAAGUUGGAGUAAAACUUGAGUGCAGCAAGAAGUGUCCUUGUGAAGGAGUUCAAUUGUCAAAUAUCGAUUUGCAUUAUGUUGGUGAUAAAAAGAAGCCGAUAUCCUCUGUAUGCCAGAAUGCAAAAAUCAAAUAUGCUGGUCGCCAAUUACCACCACCUUGCAAUUAAGUGCUUAAAUUUGCAAUUGCAACCUGUCUUGUCCAGCUUAAGCAUCAUCUUGUAUCACUACGCUAGAAUUGAGGCAAUGGAGCUUUCUCGAUCUAAUGGAAAAAUAUAUAUAUAUAUAUUAAUUGUUCUCUGAGUACAUAGUUGUGCAGAAUUGGUUGAAUAGGGCUAGCGAGUUUUUAGUUUUCACAUCAUUAGGUCGUGCUUUAGUGCACAAACACAGAACUUCAAACGCAAGAGGGAAUUGCAAUUUUCCAAGUCUAUGUAUAUAGCAUCUUUUCUUGCUUAAUUUCUAGCGGUUUAUCAAGAUUUGAUUAAAGAAUUGUCGAUCAUAAAUUAAUUAAUUAGUUGGUAAAUAAAAAAAAUUAAGGUUAUAUUUAGUAAACCGUAAUGAAAUAUAAUGUAAUGUAUCAAAAACAUUUUUAAACAAAAAAUGUCUUUUGAUUUCAUUAUCUUAAGUUACAUAUGGUUUUACCAAAUAUAGUCUAAAAACAAUUAACAAUACUAUCAGUAACAAACUUAAGAAAAAUUAAAAAUACUUUCAUCCCUCUUUUGAAGACAUGAGAACGUUUCAUAUAUAUAUAUAUAUAUAUAUAUAUAUAUAUAUAUAUAUUUGGUAAUGUAGUCCUUUGAAAAUACAUGGACCAAUUGUUGUAUGAGUUUUAGAAGAAGCAAGCACUGAACACUAAUAUUUAAAACGACACCGUUCGUCCGUAAUUCCGGUACCCUCGAUUAUUUAAAUACAGAAAAAAUAAGAAAGCGCCGUCGUUUAUUUACCCUUCAUAAUAGCAAAAGCAAAUCAAUUUCACCGAUUGGAAAGCCAGAGCUAGAGAGUGUGUAAACAAUGGCGUAUGUCGCUGCACGUCGCAAUUUAACUUCGUUCCUUACCCGAACUCUCGCUUCUUCUUCUUCAUCGUCUUCACUUUCUUCUCGUUCUCGAUUCGUUUUUUCUCUCCUCGACAAAAACCCAUCGAACCAAUUCGUCCCGGACUCUGUGAAAAUCCCUACCCGUUUCAAAACUUCUGGGUCAGGUUACUCGCCACUGAAUGAUCCGUCACCCAACUGGAGUAACCGACCACCAAAGGAAACGAUACUCUUGGAUGGCUGUGACUAUGAGCACUGGCUUAUCGUCAUGGAGUUCCCAACUGACCCAAAACCAACCGAAGAGGAGAUGAUCAACGCAUACGUCAAAACCCUUGCAACCGUCGUGGGCAGGUGCUGAGUUUUUCUUUUCUUUUAUUUUUUCUUGAGCUCAUUUUUGAUUUGGGUUUACUCUAUAAUUUCUGUAUCUGGGCUUUGACUUCUGAUUUUUGUUUUUGGCUAUUGUUUGGGUGGACUUUAGUGAGGAUGAGGCAAAGAAGAAAAUUUAUUCGGUUUCCACAUCGACCUAUACUGGGUUUGGUGCUUUGAUUUCGGAGGAACUCUCACACAAAGUAAAAGGUAUUUCAUUUUCUUUGUCGGACUUAUCUUUAAUACAUUGAUAGGGUUUAGGGUUUAAAAGUUUUUUUUUUUUUUUGUUUUUUGAGGUUUUGAGGGACCGAUGGAAGUAAUUAGCCUUCUUAACCUUUUAGUAUGAUUUGUAAUAGGUACCGUACUGAUUAUGAAUGCCAUUUUAUUCUGUUUAUUUCAAAUUUUGGAUUGUUGAUUAAAUCAACCUGGCUUCUUGUUGUGACUUCUGCUUAUACUUGAAGUUUGGCAGUUCUGGUGUGAUGUUUGUAUAUUAGACUGUUUUAUGCUUCUAUUUGUCUGGAUGGAUAGGGUUGCCUGGUGUUCUCUGGGUUUUGCCAGAUUCAUAUCUUGAUGUUCCCAACAAGGACUAUGGAGGUGGGUAUUCCGAAGAUGUAAACUUUAAUUACUAAAUUAUACACUUUAUGUUUGGGUGUUUCCAUUUUAAAUUCAUCUCCUUUUGGUUUGAAUCAGGGGAUUUGUUUGUUGAUGGCAAGGUCAUCCAUAGGCCUCAAUACCGGUAUGAUAGAUCAAACAGUCAAAACAGGCCUCGUGCCAGGUAUGAUAGACGACGUGAAACGAUGCAGGUUGAGAGGAGAGCGCCGGUACAAAGACAGAGCUGGGAACAGUCUGCGCAACAACCACCUUCAACACAGUCUCAGAAUUGAAUAGGUAUUUUAGAAAUUUAGAUGAGAAUAUCUAAGCAAGAAUUAAAGCAUUUUGUAUUUCUCUUGGAUACUGGCUUGGUUUUUGGUCAUAGUAUACUAGUUUUCUGGUGUCUUUGUGGAGAGUGAAAUGUGAAUCUUCUCUUCUAGGCUGUUUUGGGAACAUUCUACAUAUUGUCCUUGGAGAAUUCUUUCACGAGUACUGUUAUGCAUUGACAAUCGUUAAUCUCUGUUCAGUAAAUUAUGAUUGCAAAAAGGAAACUGGACUGUAAUCUUUUUUCUCCAAAAUUAUGUGUUCCUUUUUCUGUUGAGUUCCAUUGUUGGAUUGGAAAGCAUGUUCCAUAAGAGAGCAAUAUGUGUCAUACAAGUGAUUUAUUUUCUUUUCUCUGAUCUAUUCAUGUUGUUAUCCAAGCUAGUUACAUUUUCAUCCUUUUCUAUUUGAUCUUCAUGGACCUAGAUUCAGACCCUUAUCGUAAUUAUAUAUACGCCUUAUGAUGCACGUUAACUUCUAGUCAUGGGUGUUUCUGAAUUUCGGAAAUGUUUCUCUGUAUCCAUUUCUCUAUAUAAAAUAUUAUUUAUAGAUAUUAUUUCCCUAUGUUUCUUCGAUUCCGUUUCCACGUAACAUUGUAUAUACCUGAUCUGAAAACAUAUGUUUACUUUCUGUUCAGUAAUAACUGCAAUUCUUACAUAAGACUUUGUUCUAUUGGAUCAAUAAAAACAUUCAAUUCAAUGUUAUUUGGUUGAUUUUCUUCCUGAUGGAAAUGAUUAUAUUAUUUUACUUAAUUAAUGACACGGUGGAGGGUUCAAUUUGUGGUAUUCGGAUUCAAAAUUUCAUGCAUCCACUUAUUAUUACGAAGGGAAAAAAUUAUGGCAUCCGGUUUAUAAUUUCAUUGACACAUUUAAAAAAAAAAUCCCAGGUAAGUAUUUCAGAGCAUAAACUGUAAUUUUAUUAACAUGCUUAAAAUUGUAUUGAAGUUCAGAUUUGCAAUUGGCAUUAUCUUAAUUAGAAAAAUUCAAGCUGAGAUGGAGAGUUUAACGAGAUUAAUUAUCAUUCUUAUGCUGGUUUUAAUUACUUUCCAAAAAUAACCUUAAUGAAGGGACAAAAUUUACCCUUCCGAAUUCCUACCAAACAUAAAUAACGGCAGCAGGAUUCAGAAUCCGACGCGCCUCACCACCUGUCCUAAAUUUGCAACUCCAAACAAAACACAAAUUUGCACAUAAAAUAAACCAUAGCAUCGUUUUUCCGGCCCUCUUCAUCGGACACCGAUCACCCUCCGGCCAAAAAAUUGCUGCUUUUACGUUAUCGAUACUACUCACAUCUUCUUUCUCUGAUCUAUUUGAUCUUUAAUUUCUUCAUCUCAAAUUAGCAGGUACGUUUUCAGCUGUAACAGAUUUAAUUUUCUUUCUCUCAGAUCCCAACAGAUUUUGUUCUGUUUUGAUUGAAUCUUUAAAAAAGGAAAGCAAAAAUGAACUCUAACUACGGGAAAGGAUCAUCUAGCUCGUUGAACAACUUCAAUUUCGAUUUCGGACUAGGUUCGAGCCGACCCAAAUCCCUUAAUGAUCAAAAGAAUCCAACUUCUUCAUAUUCAUCGUAUUCAUCCUCAACAACAACGCAGCCUAAACCCGCCUGGCAACCUAAUAAACCUUCCUGGACUCACCAGCCCGCGCCGAGUCAGCCUACUUGGUCCGGGCUAAAUGGGCCCCCUUCUAUGGUGGGUGAUAUAUCUGGGAAGAGCUGGAAUUCAUCAAGUUCAGCUUCUGGGAUUGGGAUCGUAGAGAAGAACCCAAAUUUGUUUGGGGAUCUGGUCACCUCUGCUUUGGGGCAGGGAAACAAGGGUAAUAGCAAUGCUCCUUUGAAAACUGCUACACCCACAUCGAAUAAAACUGCCUAUUCGAUGGGCAAUCUUGCUGAUUCAUUGCCAAAAACAAAUAAUUCAGCGAAAAGUGGAGGAACUUGGGGAUCUAAUGGUAAUUUUGGGAGUUAUUCUAGUGAGUACAAUAAAACCAGCAGCAAUGUUAAUGCUGCUGGUAAUGGCAAUGUCAAUGUUAGUAGUAAUAUGAGUCCAAAUCUUGGUCGUCCUUCAAUGAAAAGUAUGAUGGGUGGAAGUGGAGUUGGAGGUGGAAUGGGUGGAAAUAGGGAUCCAUUCGGUUCUUUGGUUGAUUUUGGAUCGAAACAACAAUCUGGUAAUCUUAAUGCAGCAAGUAAAAGCGGUACCAAUGCUGGAGAUAAUGCAUUUGGAGAUUUUCAAAAUGCUGCAAAACCAAGCACAACAACAACAUUUCCAUCAGGUGGUUUUGGUGUGAGCAACAGUAGUUUCAUGGGAUCCAAUACCGUUUCCAAUUCAAAGAUUGAUGAUUUCGGGAUGCCUGGAAUGGACUUUGCUUCUCAAAAGCAGUCUCCUGUUCAAACUUCGAGUGGGGAUCCACUUGACAUGUUCUUUUCCUCCUCCUCGGGAGGUACUGCAACAGCAUCUGCAGGAGCAGGAGAGCAGCAGUUCUCAGAAGUUGAUGACUGGGGAUUGGAUUCAGGCUUUGGAGGAGGAGCUGGAAAUGAUUCAGGUGGUGCCACCACUGAGCUUGAAGGGCUUCCACCGCCCCCUGCUGGGGUCACAGCCUCUAUAGCAAAGAACAAAGGUGUUGAUAAUCAAAAGCAGGGGCAAUAUGCAGAUGCCAUCAAGUGGUUGUCUUGGGCUGUUGUACUUCUUGAGAAAACUGGUGACAAGGCUUCUACCACAGAGGUUUUGUCAUGCAGAGCUUCAUGCUAUAAAGAAGUUGGAGAGUAUAAGAAAGCAGUGGCUGACUGUACAAAGGUAUGAUCAUGUCUUACAUUUUUCUCAAUGGUUCUGUUUACUUGUCUUCUUGCUCAUUGAUUUUAGACUUUUGGUUUGAUGAUUUAUGAAUUCAAAGUGUGUCUUUAUAUGCGUAUGGAAAUUAAUGAAUUGAGCCUACUUGCCAUAUGCUUUGAGGCUGUAAUGCAUCAGAAUUUCACUUAGGCUGUGUAGGAAGAAAAGGAUAAGCUAUUUGGUGGAUGGUACGGUUAGAUAUAUGAACUCCUCAAGUUUUGUUGAUAGGUUGUUUGCUCCAAGUAUCUUGAUUGACUGGUCCGGUGCUUCUUGUUUUGGACUAUGAUAGCAUUUGCUUGUUACAAACUACUAAGUGUUGCCCACUCGAAGGUCUGUGUCUUUCAUUAUGGUGUUGAUGUGUUGCACAACGCAGACUGCAGUGUGCUAUUGACUUGAUUUUCUGCAUGCGAGAGUGCAGGCACCUGCUUUUUCUUGCAAAUGAUAUGAACUUUUUUUUCCUUUAUCAAUUUCCUACAUUGGAGUAGGAAAUUUAUAGUCUCCUCCGUGCUAUGUAGGUUCUCGAAGAUGAUGAUGGAAAUGUAUCUAUCCUUGUACAACGUGCACUCCUGUACGAAAGUAUGGAAAAGUACAAACUUGGGGCCGAAGACCUGAGGACUGUUCUGAAGAUUGAUCCUACUAAUAGGAUUGCAAAGAGUACCAUUCACCGCUUAACUAAAAUGGUAGACUAGAGAGAUUCUGCAAUUUGCAUUUGUAUCUUAGCUUUCCAUUUUGAUUAAUACAUCUUCCCUCUCACUAAAUCUGAGGGGAAUGAGGACAUUCUGUUCAAGUAAAUGUAUUUCAAUUGAUAAUCAUGGCAUACAUAUAGGAUGGGUGGAAUUUCAUUUGUUUUGAUUGUGAUGGAAUAUAGUCCUUAUUCGAUACUUAAAAAGAAGAGGCCUGGAAUUUUCCUGUUGAUUUUCUCUGCUUAUUCGUUGAAGUUUCAAUGUUUCUCUUAUGUAUUGUUGAAGUUCCAAUGUUUCUCUCAUGUAUUGCAGAAGAUACUCGAUUAUGUUUUUUGCUUAAUAGUUACCUCUAUUUUUGUGGUUUAACCAAUUAUCGUUCAGGCUGGGCUUAGAACUCUUAAUUUAAGAGAAACUAGUUAUGUAUUCCCACUGCCGUAUGAUUGUGCCCCUUUUGGCAAUGAUGUCAGUAUGGGCUUCUUUCUUUUUUUUAAUUCCGUCCAUGAUGGACCUUGUAUGAAAAUGACUAGAGAAUGCAGAAUGGAGGUGAACUUGGUGAGCUACGGCACUUACAUGCCAAUUUUGCUAAGAUGCAAGUUAGCAAGUACAAUUUUUGCUGCUUCAUUAGUACUUUCAUUGUUGGCUUGGCACUGCAAUAUAAUCGGCUCCAUUCCCAAUGGCAGCGGUUAUGGAAGUAUUUCUUGGCGGUUCAAACUUCAAAGUAUCUAUCUCCUCUGAUGUAAGAACUUGGUAUUGGGAUUGGGAGUUCUUACACAGAGGAUAUGAAUUCCUUACAAGUCGAGAUAGCUUGCAAGUCAAAGCUAAGCUGUGAACUGGAAUAACACCUAGAAAAGAAUUAAAAGAAAACGCGUGAAGCAUGUAGAAACAUUUCUUGGGAGGCAGAAACAGACAGAAAAAUUUUGUAAUUUCUCUGCAAAUUUCAGCGUUGUUUCUCUGUUUCCUAAAAGCCUGUAAGACCUUUGUGUGCGUGUGAUGUAAUACUAUCCUUUCGAAUUCGGCAAUCAUUUUCUCCAAGGAGAGAAUGCUUAUCUGUAUGAUUAAGCCCAAGAAGACAAAUUCAUGAGCAUGAGCUACUCCCAUGGUUUUCUCUGAGCCCAACUGCUUCUUGCAGAUAAAAGUUUCUGACUGCCUAUCAUGAAAAUAACUCAUAAAACACACAAAUAUUACUUUUUUAUACAAGAAAUGUUAAUUAUGUGUAUAUCAAAAUAAAAGAAUCACCAUAGCCCCUCGUCUUACUUGAUAUUGACAAACUGUAAGUAUGCAUGCAUUACACCUGUAAAUAAAAUUUGCAAGCGCCCGGUACACACGGUAAAAUGAAAAUGCAUACGAAACUAUAUCUCUUCCGUUCUAAAAUAUAAGAAGUUUUUGUGCGGGAUAAAAAAGUAAUUAAUUCUCUCAAAUUUUAAGAAAAUUACUGAUAAUUUGACUAAAUUGUAUGUUAUCUCACAUCCUCCCUUCUAUCUUACAUUAUUAUAUUAUAUCUAAUAUAAAUAAAAGAAAAUUUGAAAAAAAAAAUUAUUACUUUUUAAAAUAUUCUGAAUAAUUUAUAUUUUGAGACAAGUAAUCAUCCUAAAACUAAAACAACUUAUAUUUUCGGACUCAGAGAGGAGUACAAAAGUACUUAAAUUAACUAACUAUAAAUAAUAAAUUUUAUCAAGAUUUCGUUAAUAAAUUAAUUUGGAUUGUUUUACCAAUUUAAGCCUAUCUUAUUUUACUCUGUCUGAAUAGGGACAGUAAUAGGGUAAAUUUCUCCCAAUUAGAAGUAAAUUUUGUUUUAACACCUAAUCUAUUUCUGUAUGUAGUUUGUGUUUUUACCCUUGUUUACCAAAAUAAAAAAUAAAAAAUUCAACCUCUUGCGUUUCUCCAUUGGUGGAGGAGGACUAAAAAGUAAAAACAAAAAAUUCCCUUCAAUAGGCAGGGCUGGGCUGGGCGGUUAUAGUUUUGGACCAACUCUUUGCAUGCGUUACAGCAGACUGUACAAAAAGCCAGCACAAUUUGCUCAACCAAUUAGAAAUAGCCACGUAAACUCUUUUAAUAACCCACUUGUCACUUAAGUACCGGACACGGUCGCAACUAUAAAAUCCUAGGCUUAAUAUCUCUGGAUGGGCCAAGGCCACGUUUAUCUCUAAUCUCUCCUGGCUUUUUCCAUUUCCUAAUUUUUUCUACCUGAUUCAAUCUCAACCGUCCAAUCAUAUACCCGAAAAAUGACAAAUGUGACCCACAAAAAGUUUAUGAGCUCGUCUUUUUCUAAUAGAUUAGUUGUAACCGUCACUCUAUAAAAACCGUGCCUUCUGUUUCCUCUUAUCUCUCACUUGAAUACCCACAACUUCUCUCCUGCAAACAUGUGCGGAGGUGCUAUUAUUUCAGAUUUCGUCGCCGUGAAACGUAGCCGGCGAUUGAACGCCGAGGAUCUCUGGUCUGAGCUUGACACUUUCUCUGACUUUCUUGGCUUGGAUUAUCCUAAUAAUGGCAAUAAAGAAGUCCUGCCUUCCCACUUUGAUCUUGAACUCCCUCAAAAGCCGAACCAGCUCAACGAAGGUAACACUUUCAUUUUUCAUUUUUAUUUUCUAAUGGAUAUAUAGCAAUGGAAAUUAUUUUUGAAUUUAAACUGUUUAAUUUGUUUUAUGGAAUUUAGUGGAGAAGAUAACAGAGAAGGCAAGUCAUAGUCAAGGCGAUGUAAAGGAAGGGAACAAGACCAAGAGAACUCGAAAGAAUAUUUACAGGGGAAUAAGGCGAAGGCCAUGGGGAAAAUGGGCGGCUGAAAUCAGAGACCCGCACAAGGGCGUACGUGUUUGGCUUGGUACUUACAACACAGCUGAAGAAGCCGCUCGAGCCUACGAUGAAGCUGCCAAGCGUAUCCGUGGUGAAAAAGCCAAGCUUAAUUUUGGCCAGUCACCCCCAUUAGCCCCAGCUCUGGUACCUCCAUACAAGAAGCGUUGCUUGAUCAAUCCUGGCAUGGCCACUGCUAGCUACCAAAUGACCGCGCCACCGCCAGAACCGUACGCGAGUCUCGGUUACCAAAAAGAAAUGGCUAGUGAUUAUAAGCUGAAAGAGCAAAUAUCGAGCCUGGAAAUGUUUCUCGGUUUGGAGCCUGAAGAGAUGGCAGCUCAGCUGAGUUGUGAGGGGUUUAACUCGGUGGACCUAUGGAUGCUGGGUGACCUCGUCAGCCACCAUCAGAAUCAUGGCCUACUCCCCUAUUAAGUAUAUAAUUAAAUUACUAAAUCUAGUAAUUAGAUAUGGUGGUUGUGUUUAAUGUUUUAUAGUAUUUUAAUUAAUGCCCUUGUGCGUUUCUGUUUAGUAAGUUAUGCUUGAGCUGAGACUGAUUGCUUCUAUUAUUGGUUUUGAUAAUAUGCGUGCAUAUUAUGUCUUCAAUUGUUCUAAUUUGUCGUUUUAAUUACGGUUUAAUAAUUAAUAUUAACGUUAGACAAAUUAUUAAAUCUCACAUUCAGAUAUUAUGAUUUUUAUUAAUUUGAAAUUAAAAAGCCUUUGACAGCAAAAGUAAAAAUGAUGCUUUCUUUGAUUAUGCUUUUGUUUGUAAAUGCAUGUCUUUCGGCUAAUUAAAUUGUAAUUACUGAAUAAGUAGUAAACAAUACACAAGUAAAGACCUGUAGACACGAAUAGUUAUGCACCCAAUUGAGAAAUUCCCACUUUGAUUUUUCUUCUAAGUAUUCUUCAACCACCCACAUUGAAACAUCAGUAUGUUCAUAUGUUGAAUGUUGAAAUUUUUACCAUUUAAUGAAUUAACCAAUUUGGAAACUUUAACCAAAAUUUGACUCUUGAUGAGAAAUUUCUUCUGCCUUAGGAGUAAAAGCCUAGCUUAUAGCUAUAUGUAAUGUUUUAGUAUUGAUGGAAAUUCCGUUCUAAUUAUUAUUUAUUUAUUAUAUUGGGAAUAAUAAAAUAAAUAAAAAAAAUGUGCAAAUGUAAGGAUAUUUGAAGAGAAUACGAUGAAAUAAGCAAAAUAUUCUAAUUCGAAAAUCCACAAGCUACAAUUAGGAAUAAUAGUUACCUAUAUGUCAAAAUAACCCUCCUAAUAUUGAAAUAAAUUUUUUUUUUCUUAAGGAUUUUUUUCACUUUUUAUAAGAACAAAAUUAAGGAAAAAUUUUUGAUUUUAUUAAUUUGUCAAAUUUAUCUUUUAAUAAAAAAAAAAAGUAACAGAAACAUAAAUAAAAGUAUUUGAUUGAUAAUAAUGACAAAAUAGUCUCCAAUUUAUUAACUUUUAAUUAAAAUUUAAAAAACAAAUAAUUAAUUUUUAAACAUCUCAGUAUUGAAAAGUGUCCACCUAAUAAUUGAAGAUGCAUGAACCAAACUCAAUGUGCAAGCAGUAGACUCCAAGGUGGGACUACCUUAAUAACAAUGACAAUUUUCUGGAUUAAAAAAUUCAUCAAACCCAUUUUCUUUGUCUUCCAUGAUCAAUGAAAUCUACUGUUUGCGUUGGAAUAUUGAAUUUUUAAAUAUGGAUAAUGUUAGCUGACUCACCUCAUCGAAUGGAAAAACCCCAUUGUUCCUUCAACUUGGUACUGAAUACUUAUAAGAACUUAGUCAUUGUUCGUUGCAUCUUCUUCCUGAGAGAAGUCCAUCUCCAUCCAGCGCCCAUUGCAACUUGCUAAUUCUUGAAAGGCGAACUUUCCAUCGUUGUCUCUCAACAGAAACAUAACCAGUAGAAAGUUCGCAAUCGCAAUACAUCAAUUGCUUUUUGGAUCGUUCGAUUUCAUAGAUAAGCGCGUAAGUUCCAAGUUCAUUAACUCAAUCAUAGCUAAAAUCAUAUUAAAAUCACAAAAAUCUUUUUUUUUUUUUUAAAGAAAAAUCACAAAAAUCUUUUUAUGAUUGGACUCUGAUCUUUGGUGAUAUGAAAUAUUUUCCAACGUUAACAUGCGCAAUUCAACGGUCCCAUAAACGAAACCAAGAACGAAGAAAUGCAUAUACCAUCACCAAUACCAUUAUUAACUGUUCAAAGCUAGAAAAAGGAAUAAAGCGUCUUUGUCUGUGACUGUGUGAUGAAAUAAAAUUCGAGAAGGAAGUCAAACGAUCCAUAGAUUUGAGUGUGUCUGUACCUUUCAGCAAAGAAAAAGACAAAUUCAAUUGUCAUUUGAUGUUUGGAACCAACAACCAAAAUGAAAGAGGCAAAUUUAAAAUGGAGCAAAGCAGGUCAUUUAAAAUGAAAGAAAAGAAAGAAAAAGGCAAAAAAUUAUGGUGCAACCAUAGUAACUAUUUUUUCUUAGUAAGUGUAAAAUUCAAAAGAAGCAAAUUUUUAUGCGCCAGAUGGAGUAAAGAAAAAUCUCAAAUCAACAAUCCUAAUUUCCUCAAGACCUUAGAAAUUUUGUUUUACCUAUCUGCGACAAAGACGAGGUGCUAGCGUGGAUAGAUUCCAAGCAAGAAUAUUAUCAGAUAGACUGUUAGCUUAGCUAGCAUACAAGAAAUCAACGAAAGUGCCUAUAUUGGGCUUCACAAGGUCACAAUAAAUAAUCUCCAUUUUGUCUUAACUAUAGGUAGGCCAUAUUUAUGUUCAGAUCCAUGCGACACAUCAAACCCGCACUUAACACAGUUCACAUGCACAACCACUCUUUGACGACACACGCAACCAAAGCAACUACAUUCUUCCUUUCCACAUCUAAAUCGAGAUCUCUUCUCAACAUGUACUGAUGAUAUCAGUGGCCUUGUCAACAUAUUUAGCUGGAAUAAAAUCAAUACUUCCAAACAGUAAUUCUCAUAGAUGAAAGGGCUCUAACAGGACUAAUGCUCAUCACACAAUACAAAACAAUACAUGCUAAAACCCAAAUAUAACUCUAAAAUAUAUGCAGCACAACAUAAAAAGGAUUCGCCAAUUCACAGCCGGGAUAUCAUUUCAUCCUUUAUUCAGCAUUUUCGGAAUUAAAUUCUUACCUAUUCAUCAAAUCUCUGCUUCUUGUCGCAGAGUCUCUGAACACGUUGACCUUGCACUCAAAUGUAUUUUGCUUAAAGUUAUAACACCCGAAAUACAAGGGCAGUUUCCUUUGUAUAAUGGUGUGAGUCAUGACAAUCAGCUAGGAAACUGGGUUCCAGUAUGCCAUUAUGAGAAGAUUAUUGAUUUCUAUGAAUGAUUGUCAAGCUUUAAUUGAUCAUUUGCACAAGAUCCUUUCAAACCGGUGAUCAAAUCAAAUAAUAAGAGUUCUGAUGUAAUUCAGAACCAGUAAAGCAAAUUACUUCAUAAGACACAUACAUUGGUCAAUCACAGAGAACUAACAUAAAUACCUCCAAUGGGAUGAAAACACUGAUGGGCUAUAAUAAAUGAUUCAGUUUCAAACAACUCAGAGCAUAACAUAAUAUGAUAAACUAAUACAAGAAUUGAAGUUCAAUUUUUCUUUUUUUUUUUUUUUUUUUUGGAAAAAAAAGAACAUUGGUUUCAUAGAGAAUGCGUCUGAUGAGAUUUGGUUAUUAAUAUAGGAAAUAAUGGAAGUAGCACCAGCAGAUCUAACUCUUCAUGGUUAAUACUGGACAUUUUGUAACCCAGCAGAAAUCCAUGGUUUCUUGGCAGAGAAAAGAUAACUGAUAUCAUGCACCAUCAACAUCUCACAUGAUGGUAGAUAACAAUUUGAGAACUCACCUUAGGAAGUUUCAUGUUUAACGACCAUCAUCACAAUGCUGGAAACAAGAGAAAAGGAAGAGGAAAAACACCCUAGCUGUUUGUAAAAAAUUCAUUUAUAUCCAAACAUCAGUCUAUUGUAUACAUGAAGGCAUAUGAACCAAAGAUGAUACAAUUAACAGAUCAGAUCACCAUUAUCCAGUUUCAAGAAAAGCAAGAUACUUGUAUCGCCAUAGGCCAUUUACUUGUGCAAACUAAAAUGAAUCUAGAAUCUCGACAGAGUUAUAGUAUCAGGUAAUUAUUGUCCUACUUGUUAAGGAACUCAAAUUUAUAAGUUGAGGCGUCUGUCACUGAAUAAAAAAACUUGAUAACGAAAUGCACCGACAAAAAAAUUAAAACAAUAAUAAUAAAAAAAAGCACCUCAUCAAUUCAGAGAAACAAUGUGGAUUAAUAUAUGUAUGUAUAUAUAUAUAUAUAUAUACACAAUAUGUACAUUUAUCUGUGAAAGAAAGCUAAAGCGAGUAGUUUAUGGUACCAAUCAAUUAUCCAAUUAAAUACAAUUUCUAUUACCCCAAUUCCCCCCAUUCACAAAUUUCAAAUAUCAGUUACCAAAUAAGGAUGCCGAAGUGAAUCUAAUAAGAAUUUUCGCUCUCGCAGCAUCAGCAAUCCCACCUGCAAUGAUCCUCACAGCCUUCUCGAACGCAAAAUGCAUGCAAGUCGACAGGGCAAUCCAAUAAAUCACUUCAUAAACGAAUCCAUAAGCAAACCUUGAAGACGAUGACCAUGAUGACUCGUCCCAAUUUUGGCCUCCAAAUCUAUCGAAAUUCCACCCUCUACCUCCGCCCCAACUUCCACCAGCUCCACCAAACGGGCCAUCACCGUCACCAUCACCACCAAAGAAUCCGAAAUCUUCGCUGCCGUCCUCAUCUCCGCCGCUGCCCGAUCUCCGCCUAGUUCGCCGUUUCUUGCGAAGAAGAGUCCGGCGAGUUGUUUUGUACGAGUUAGGUUUGACAGGCGGAGGAGCCAGCGCAUCGAAAAUAACGGUGUACGUUUGCAGAACUCUGGCGGAGAGAGUGAGAUUGCAAUUAGAGAUUAAAUUUUGGCGUUGGAGAUGCGAAUUCGCAAUCCCUACCCCUUGCUGUGUGGCUAUCGUUACCCCAUCGGCGGCGAGAAAAAUAUCCAUCAUAAUCUCCUAUUGGAAGAGAUAUAAUUGAAUUAUGGAAUGAGAAUUCCGAAUUGUGAGGGAACAGAAGGGCAAUGAAUUUAGGGAUUUUAUAUUCCCGGCAAUAUCCAGGAAAAACAAGGAAUGAGAAAAGAAAAUCUUCUUGUAAUGGGAACUUGAUUCGGUGAAAUGGCAAGAACGAGAAUGUGUGAAUAGUAAACGGAACGUGUUCUGUGUUGGCGGGUUGGGUCGAAGCUGCAUUAGCUUCAGAUAUUGACGCGUGGGUCAAUUUGGAUUUGGAUGCUUGAAAACACGAUUUUCAAUUGAUUGGUUGAUGGGCUAUUUUCGGAGCCAAAAUUAAUGGGCUUUGAAUCUGCAGACUCUUUUGGGCUUCAAAUUAAUGUUCAAUGCCAACCUCGAAUUCAAGGCCAUUAAAAUAAAUCUAAUUAAAAAUAGUGUGAAGUUUAUGCAUUUUAUGAAAUGCUUAUGUUUCAUUAUUUUUCACUAUUCUUAAAUAGGAUUGAGAUUUUUUAAGUUAAUUUUUUUUAAUGAUGAUAUAUUGAAAAGUAAUUCAUAGAUCCUUUUUGGAUUCGAGAAUAUCAAAAAUAUUAAAAUAAGCUAUAUGAUAUAUAUAUAUAUAUAUAUAUAUAUAUUCUGAAUAUUCCAGUGGAGACAUUUAAGAAUGGAUAUUUUAAUUUUAUAAAGUUGAACGAAAUAUUUUUUUGUAAUUCAUUUUUCAGGGGUAUUGUUGAAACGUAGAGAAACUAUUGGGUCAACUAGGAAAUUAUAGAUACAUCUUGGUUAGUUUAUGCAAUUGUCCGAAAAGAAAAACCCUAACCCUAAUUACUAUCCUGUUUGCCAUGGUAUAAAAUUGCGUUGGCUUCUAUCUGCAAAAACCCUCUAGUUGCCACUUACACCGGGAGAGCAGAAAGAGAAAACAUGGUAUCGCUAAAACUACAGAAGCGGCUCGCCGCUAGCGUUCUCAAGUGCGGGAAAGGCAAGGUCUGGCUCGAUCCUAAUGAGGUCAAUGAAAUUUCCAUGGCCAAUUCCAGUAAGUUUCCUUUUGUUUUUUUAAAUCCGUCGUUUCACUUUUUUUUUUUUUUCUUGUGAAACCUAAGAUGUAUUAACUUUAGAUCACAGCGAAUUUGAAUGGCACGUACAGUUUGAUCUGUAAGUCGUGAAUCUUCUAUAGUUAAUUGCCAGUCUAAAUAGUACAUAAACUUCAGAAACCCAAGCAAGACCUGUGCAUCUCUCCUAUUUCAAUUGCUCACAAAAACAGUUGUAAAUGACCUGCUACGUCUUGCUUGAGAUUAUUAGGCGAUAAAUCGUUUGAGGUGGUCGUUGUGUUAACGAGUUGCUGCCCAUUUCUUGUCCUAUAAGACUUUCUCCCAAUUCAAGCUGGUCAUGGAUUUUAUGGAUGAAGAUGUUGGUUGUCGCUGUUAUCGAGAUGAUUGUGAGUUUGGUCGGAUGAAGAAUUUCAAGCGAAUUUUUUUGAUAAUUGAAUCUGACAUGGGAUUUUUGAGAGCAUUUUUCUGUAUUGAAUAGUACUAUUCAUUUAUCAAUCAAAUUGCAUCGUACUGAUUCCACACCUGGCAAGAUAGGCUUGGUUGACAGGCUUCUCUUUGAAUUGAUUCAUUAUAUGCAAUAUACUAUUUUGUUAUGCUUAUUCCCUUUUUAUAAUCUGUGUGUCAUUUCUGGUAGUUACUGUUAUGAUCUGGGAAUUGUUGAAGAAACAAAUAUACUAUUGCCACAUUGAUUUUUUUUCCUGGACCACCAUAGUAUUGUUCAUCAUGAUUAAUGAAUGCAGGGCAGAACGUUAGAAAGCUAGUGAAGGAUGGUUUCAUCAUUAGGAAGCCAACAAAGAUUCACUCUCGUUCUCGUGCACGCAGAAUGAAGGAGGCCAAGAGAAAGGGUCGUCACUCUGGAUAUGGUAUGGUUCAUUCUGAAAUAUCUGCGUCUCUUUCAGUUUGAUGUACUAUCAAGCUUUGUACAUCAAAAUGAUAGUAAGCUCAGACUUCAAAAAAAACUAUAUCUUUUAGAUGAGUCACUGUUCGACGUACUUCCUCAAGGUCUUGAUAAACAGUAUGAUGCACAUUUAUCUUUUAAGGUAAGCGCAAGGGUACCAGGGAGGCUAGGCUGCCAACCAAGAUCCUUUGGAUGAGGAGAAUGCGUGUCCUGAGGCGUCUGCUGCGCAAAUACAGGGAAUCCAAAAAAAUUGACAAGCACAUGUAUCAUGACAUGUACAUGAAGGUAAAGGGUAAUGUAUUCAAGAAUAAACGUGUGCUGAUGGAAAGUAUCCAUAAAUCAAAGGCUGAAAAGGCAAGAGAGAAGACUUUAUCUGACCAAUUUGAGGCUAAGCGUGCAAAGAACAAGGCAAGCAGGGAGAGGAAGAUAGCCAGAAGAGAGGAGCGUUUGGCUCAGGUAAGUUGAAAAUACUUGUAUUGUUAAUGUCAACACAAUGAAGACCAAUUUAUUUUUAAACAAUUGUGUUCUAUCAUUGAUUGGAAAUUUAUUUCUCUGUUUCUGAAUCAUAUGGUAAUUUCAUUCUCUUGUAUCCUAGGGGCCUGGAGAGAAGGCACCACAAGCACCUGCCCCACAGCAGACCGAGUAAGAUGCUAAGACUUUGUGUUCCUACCAAUGCCAUCUUUUAAUGCUUGAAAUUCAAUAUUUUUCCUUUGAUUUUGCAGGGGAGCAAAGAAAUCCAAGAAGUGAAUGUAAGACUGAUGAAUGCAGGAGGUUGAUACCUGAGUUAUCUUUAUGUCUGGUCUAGUAGGAGUUUGUCUCUUAAAGUUACUAUGUUUUCAUUUUCUGGGAUAUUUCUUUGAAAUAUAGAAUUUUUGAAUUCCAUGAGCCUUAGUUUCUUUUCUUAUAUGCUAAAUCAUGUUUUUGUUUUAUGAUAAAUUAGUUGGCUAAACGUGGUGGAACUUGCAGUUGUUACGUUGUAACCGCAUGAUUUUUAGUAUUCCAAAUUUUAAACCUAUAUUGGUCCCGUUUUAAGAUCUAGAUAUUCUUUUAGAUUCUCAGCUGUUACAUAGAAUGUAAUAAAGAUAGCUUUUGCAAGUCAUCGGGAGGGAAUUUUAGGCCUUCAAUGGAAUUUGAUUUAAGCCAUGGUCGUCGAAAAUUGAAACGUGGAAUAUCUGUAUGAUGGCAGUGAAGAGCUUGGUUCUUUAAUCAUACACGAGAUUGGCAUUGAUCGUCCAUUCUUUUACAGCGAAUUCUCCACUUCUGCAGUUCUACUACUUGGACUGUUUGUUUUAAAUAAAACGGUCUGUGUAUUUUUAUAUAAACUUUGCUAGUAAUAUUUUGAUAGUCUCACUUAUUAUUAUGCUAUGAUAAUAUACUCCCAUCCACUGAUAAGUAAUUUGGAUUAACGAAUUCAAGAAGCCCAAACGUUUUGUGUGACUAACACAUGGCGACUAUUAUUAAUAGCACAAGUCAGAAAGCCCUUUUUUUUAUUCUUUUUUAAAAGAAUUAACUAAUACAUUGUACAGUAGUACAUGGGUGCCCAAUUGAUAAAAUUGAUCGACGCUUAGUCCAUGCGCUCAUUGGAAAAACAUAAAAAAAUAAAAAAAGGUCCGUUUUCUUAAAAAUCGGACCAUCUACAACCCACAUAGAAAUACGGCAAUAUCAAAGCGACCACCAGAUUUGACGUCCCUCUCUCUCUCGUGUUGCUUGUUUUAAGAACUCGAAAGCUAGAAACCAACCAAUUCUUUCUCUCUCAACCUUUCCAGAUUUGACGCACUUUUCGUGUUUAAAAUUUGUUUCUAAGCUCGAAACUAACCAAAUAAUAUUUCAUUUAGUUAGAUCCAAGGAAACUAAUCUAUCCAAAACGACUAACCUCUCUCUCUCUUAAUCUCAAUUCUUCAGAGACCAAAUCCAAUUACAAACUAAACUGUAUAUCGAAUGGCAUCGUCGGAGCAGUUAAUGGGAGCGACUAGUGGUCCUCGCUACGUCCAAAUGCAAUCCGAACCGUCAACGACGCCGCAUCACCACCAGCAACAUCAUCAGCCAUCAAUGAUGUCUUCGUUUUUCUCUUUCUCGGGUAUCGCCCCGGAGUCCACUAGAAUUUUCGAGGAGUUGCCAAAGGCUACCAUCGUCUCCGUGUCUAGACCCGAUGCAGGCGAUAUUAGUCCCGUACUUCUAUCUUACACUAUCGAGUUUCAGUACAAGCAGGCACGAAUUUGUCUCUAUAAACUAUUAUUUUAUGUAUUUUGUGGAUUUCUUAUUGAAGUUGAUUCUAUUAUUCAAUUUGGAAAGGCCUUUGGCUUUUGGAGUCUACUUAGUUCCUUUAAACUUUUAUCAUUAGAGUGUUUUGUAUUUUUCUAAAAAUCAUCUGUUUCUGGAAUUUAUUUUUGGAUGUUAACGUUUUGCACUUUUUUCCAUCACUAGUUCAAAUGGCAGUUAUUGAAGAAGGCAGCGCAGGUGUUCUAUUUACAUUUUGCACUGAAGAGACGAGCUUUUAUUGAGGAAAUUCAUGAGAAACAGGAGCAGGUAUGUGCAAAAUGAUAGUACCUUUAAAUCUUUGGUUUACGUUAUUGCACCUUUUAGCUUUUCGUGUAUUCACAUUUUUUUGGGAGUUGUGUGGUUUUGAUGUACUUUUCAUUGGAACAUUAUAUUAAAGGUUAAAGAAUGGCUUCAAAAUCUAGGAAUAGGAGAUCAUGCUCCAGUGGUGCAUGAUGAUUAUGAUCCUGACGAUGACACUGUUCCUCUGCAUAACGAUGAAAGUUCUAAAAACAGGUGAUUAGUCUCACAUGUUAAGAUGACAAAAAACGUGGAAUAUGACCUUCUUUGUUGUAAACUUGUGAUUCUUAUAGUUCUUACAGGUGGAUUUUUUGUUCAGAGAUGUCCCAUCGAGUGCUGCCUUGCCAGUUAUUCGUCCAGCCUUGGGGAGACAGUAUUCCAUGUCCGACAGAGCAAAGGUUGCAAUGCAAGAAUAUUUGAAUCACUUUUUAGGAAACUUGGAUAUUGUCAACUCCCGAGAGGUAAGCUUUGAAAUGUUUCUGAGUACUGUUUGUGUUUGGAUGGUAUUUUCGCUCUCUGUGUCAUGUGAUGAUAAACCAUAUGAACUGCAGACAUCAAAAUUAGCUCGUUAUUAUUGUAGAUAGGUCAAAACCCUUGGUUGUUAGAGUUCAGCAAUUUGACUGCCUUUUCUUAUUCUGAAUUUUUAAUGUUUUUGGAUUGCAAAUUGCUUAGCAUUUGAAAUGUUUUCUUCAUCUGUAUUCCUUACCAUGCUAUUGUUUAUAUGUGCCCUUCAGCCUUCACAAUGGUCGAUUUGUAUUGUAGGUAUGCAAAUUUUUGGAGGUCUCAAAAUUGUCAUUUUCUCCAGAAUAUGGUCCUAAGCUAAAAGAAGACUACGUAAUGGCCAGGCACUUACCAAAACUUCCAAGUAAUGAUGAUUCUGGGAAAUGUUGUGCUUGCCAUUGGUUCAGUUGCUGUAAUGACAACUGGCAGAAGGUAACACAACCUUGUAGGCUUGAAGUAUGGUGCUGAACCGUCCGUAAUUUUUUAGUUAUAUAUAUAUAUAUAUAUAUAUAUAGAGAGAGAGAGAGCGAGAGAGAGAGAGAGAGAGAAACAAGAGGGCUAAAGAAAGUGAAUGCAGUACUUCCAUUACAUGACACAGGCAAUUUUGAAAACAGAAAAAAACUGAGACUGAAUUCUGCCUUUUGGAUUGGUUAUAGAAACUAGAGUUAUUUUCUCCUUGAAAUAGAAGUUGAUUUAUCCUUUAAAAUACUCAUCCAAAAAAUUGCAAAAGAAAUUUAAAUAGAAACUGGAGGUCUAUAGAAAGCGAAUGUAAGAGUUAUUAGCUAAUGAUUUUCUCAUUUUGGAUCUCUUUCGAUCUCCCAUCAAUUUGGUUUAUAGAUAUAUAAUCAGACUUGCAUGUGGGUAUCUUGCAAUAAACUGUAGCCAAAGAGCAACGUACAUAGGCAGAGCUCGAUUGUGAAGAAUAACUGAAAGCUUUGGUAAUCAAAGAUCAACAAAAUAGCAAGCAGCGGCAGACAAAGAGCGAGUUAUGUGAGAGAAUUGAAAAGAUUGAAAUGCCAGGAUAGAGUUUCUUUAGAAGUAUAAAGCACUAGCUCUAAAAAGUCACAGUUUAACUAAGCAAAUCUUUAUUAAAUUUUAAAGCUUAAAAAAACCAAAGUUAAAAUAAAAAUUUCCAAAAUAACAAGUGAACUGAAUUUCAGGUUUAACAAAACAAUCCUCACCUCUCCCAGUACAUAGGAAUCGCACCAGGAAGACAGAAAUAUAAAAGGAUUGCACAUUAUAAUUAUAUAUAACCCAAAACUUGUAGGAAUUUGACCUGCAAGUGCAGACAUUUGAUACAGUUCAUAUGUAUAAUAAUUUCUUCACGAAGAUCAUGCAAGCCUGUCCAUAGAUGUACGUUUUUGUAGGCCCAAAAACCAUUUUUCUACCAAAUGAUGUUUUCUUAUAUGAUCAGGAAAAAACAACUAUCCCCAGCUUCCUAACUUGUAGACUUUUCUACAUGCUACUGAUUCAAAGAUAGUUGACUUUAAAAAUGACCGAAUGAGGGAAUAAAACAAGUACCAAUGCUGAAUAUUCCUCAGAUUAAGGUAUAGAUUCUCAAUUAGGAGGAAUCACACAUUUCCCGGUUUAUGAUUUUGUACAGGUGUGGGCUGUAUUGAAACCCGGAUUCUUGGCCCUGCUGGCCGAUCCUUUUGAUGCCAAACCUCUGGAUAUAAUUGUUUUUGAUGUUCUACCAGCUUCAGAUGGUAGUGGCGAGGGUCGAAUAGCGUUAGCAGUGGAAACAAAGGAACGGAAUCCCUUACGUCAUGCAUUCAAGGUAAGCAGCCAAUGCAUCGUUUUCAUUGCUGGUGGAUGAUUUCUCUUUAUUUGUACUGUGUUCCUGGGAUUCAAUUAAACUUUUUUUCUCGGCAUCCGUCUUACAGUUUUAAUGACAAUGUUUUUGUAAUGGGCAACCCUAGUGCUCUGCUGAUAAUUGUGUAUCCUGGCUUAGGUGUCUGCUGAGUUUAUUGAAUGAAAGGAAUUCCUGAUAUAUAAUACUUGAAAAGCUACCAAUAUCUUCUUGAUUUGCUGAUGGCAUGCGCUCUUUCUGUGUGUUAGUGUCUGACUAAAUAUUCAAGUUGGCAUGUUUUUGAGAGAAGUGGUAAGGCAAACCACAGUAAAAUAGUUUAGAAGGAAUUUUUAAGUCUUUGUAUUUCCUCAAGAAUUGAAUGUCUAAUUAUGGAAAGCUUUUAUGCACAGGAUAGUUGACUCUUGUAAUUUAGGACUAUCUCUUGUGAUCUAACCAAGUAAUCUCUCUUAUUCUUUGAUAAAACCUUUAGAAACUCUAUGUGAAACUCAACCAAUCAUGCCUUUUUAGGUUUUGCAUAGACACUAGAAAAUAUGAAACUUGGAAACUGCCACUUGGAAUCUGGUCUCUCUACCUUGCUACAACUCAUUUCCAAACUCUCUCCAGAUUUACAGUUCUUCCCCCGAACAAGUUGGCUUUAGGGCUUAUAUGG
rnacentral:lncRNA from 1 species